UGAAGGACAUUACUUCUUGGGAUGUUUGAGUCUCAACUUGUUUGGCUGAUGCGGUUGAUGUGGUACUUUGUGAGGUUUGACUGUUGGUGUUGGUAGCAGCAUUGUUGGUAGUAGUUCCAGUGGGUGUACUCGGUGUAGUGGGUGUACUCGGUGUAGUAGGUGUACGUGUAGUGGGUGAGGUGGGUGUACUGGGUGUAGGUGUAGUGGGUGUGGUGGGUGUACUGGGUGUAGGUGUUGUGGGUGUAUUGGGUGUAGGUGUAGUGGAUGUUCUCGGUGUACUGGGUGUAGGUGUAGUGGGUGUUGUGGGUGUACUGGGUGUAGGUGUAGUGGGUGUACUCGGUGUAGGUGUAGUGGGUGUUGUGGGUGUAGGUGUAGUGGGUGUACUGGGUGUAGGUGUUGUGGGUGUUGUGGGUGUUGUUGGUGUUGUGGGUGUUGUGGGUGUUGAGGGUGUUGUGGGUGUUGUGGGUGUUGAGGGUGUUGUGGGUGUUGUGGGUGUUGCGGGUGUUGUGGGUGUUGUGGGUGUUGGGCUGUCAUCAUCUUUUUCACCUCCAAUAACAUCAUUAACAUCAACGUCAAGCCCGAGAUUCGAUGUAUCAAUCGUCUUUCCUGCUGUCUCCACGGCCGUUUUCACAACUGUAACGACUGUUUUAGUCCAUUGCACCAAAGCCACGAUCAACACUUUCCUUUGCUUAUAUGUUACAGGCUGCGUACCAGCUUUCUUCUGCUCAAUCAAUGUCUUUCCCAUUGACAGUAUGGUCUCUCUGAAAUCUUUACUCACCUGUUCCACAACAAAGAUCAUUAAGAAAAUUAUAGAAUCUCAUUACUUACUUAAAAAUAUUAUUUAUGCAUAGGCAAGUAAAACAUUUGCAUAUGGCUCCUAAAACUUAAGAAAAGAAAAGGAAAACAAUCUCAGGGUUAUGGUAAUUGGUACUUACGUCUUUUCUAGCACCAGUCAAUACAGAUACAGCAUUGGCGAGGCCGUCGGCUUUUGUUGUUAGCUGAGAAUCGGUGGUUUUCGAAACCGUUGCCGUUUUGAUAAAGUUCACGUAAGAUAUGAACAGUGAAAAGAAAGUCUUGAACCCCUUAGUCGCGGGACAUCCACCUUUAAGUCUGUUCAACAAAAAUGUCAUACCUUUGCAUGCGAAAGGUGUAAACUGCAUUGCCUUUUUGAAAAACUUCCUCCUCAAGUACAUCUUUAACAAGAACGUUCCUUGCGCCUCGUAGAUCACACUUGAUACUAAUAUAAACAUCAGACAUAAUGCUAGUACGUUUUUAUUAGCCAUUUUGGUUUUUUUCUUUUUUCUUUUCUUUUUUUGUUAUAUAAAUGUUUUUCUUUCUUUUUUUGAGUUUUUGAUGAUUUGAGUUUCUUGGAGAGUUGUGUUUAUAUAGAUGGUUUGAGAAAUCUAUUUUAAGUGAAACGGAGAAAAUUGUGGAUUACUUUAAGGUCGCUAGAGAAUAAUAGCAUAAGUGGUUCUCUCAUGUUUCAUUUUCUUUUAUGAAUUUAUGUUGCCGUCCGCGUUUCUCUUCAUUCUAUAUUUAGAAUGAUCAAAUUAUAAUAUACUUGAGAAAUUGAUUUGUUCAACUGUGUGCAAACAAUACAUGCUAAAGUUUUGGUCAUGCUUGUUUAAGCUCUUGACUUAUCCGUCACACGAGUCACACCCAACAUGCGCUUGUUACAACAUUUUCGACUAGUGAUACUAUGUGUAUAUCUAAAUUGGGCUUUAAAUGUUGUUAGGUGGUCUGGGCAAGUUGCAAACUAACCCCACGGGGUUGUAUCUUUUUUUUAAGCUGAAGGCCAUUUAAAUUUUUUUUAUUAAUAUGUGUAUAUAUUCUGAUAACAAAUAGCACGUAACUUGAAUUGAAACAACGAGUAAAUACCUUCCAGCUAUGUUAUGUUAGUGCUCCUAUUAGAUUAGGAUGCCGCUUUUAUCAUAUGAGUACGGGUUAGACUGGCUAUCAGGAUAUCCAAUUACAUACAAUUAAUAUGAACUCUUAAAUACGAUUGUGUAUAAACUUCUAACUAGCUGUAUUGUAACAUUUAUGCUUCAGAACUUUUACUCGUCAUAUGUUUCAGAACUUUAAUGUUUCUUACAUUUUUUUUUGCUUUUAAAUGCAUGUGCAAACGAUUUUGUGAAAGGUUUAUGUUCGCACCAUUUGAUUUUCGAUCAACUGUUAACAAAAGAUUUUAUCGAUACAAAGAAGAGCCCCACUUGUAGAAAUAGUUAGAGAAGUUCCAAGGUGAGUCGUUAAUAGUGCCGGCCUGUUUGAACUGAAUUAUUAAAUACUAAUAUGCAUUCAUUUUCUCGUAUGCCAAAUAUAUAUGUAUAUAUAUUACGUAUUUAUAUGAACAUAACCUAAAUAUUAGUGUAUAAUGAAAAGAAUGAUCAUAAUUAACUGAAUUAAUCAGUUUAUUAAAACAAGGUUUAGUGGAGGCCAUCUAGUUCAUGUCUCCAAACGGCCAAACAUAACCAGACAGAAGACCAUUAAGCCACUAAGUAACCCAUUUCGCACUUUCCUUCCCUCCAAACUCCCCAUUUUCGAUAAUAUUUGCAUACUAUUCAAUAUUUUUGUCUUCAUUCAUCUUACACUUAGUUUGAUGUUUAAGGCGUAAACAUUUCCGUGAAAGUAUUUUUAUUCAAUCAUUGAUUAAAUGAUAAGUCUAAUGGCUCAUAUUGGUUGACGUUGGAAAGCGUAAGACACAAAGGGUGUGACUUUUAAAAAAUCGGAGUUUCUGAACCAAACAGAACCAAGAUUUUCGGUUUUUAGUCUUAGUUUGGCUACUUAGUACCUACUGAGGUUAAACAGAUCGAUAUUUAUUUCUUUCUUUCACCUCACAUACUUUAAAUUUAAAAACUGAUGACUAAUUACCACAUACUGUGCAUCUAAUUUACCUUUCAAUUUAGCUACCAGUUAACUGUGAAUGUUUUCAAGACAAGAUUAUUUAUGCUCAUAAAGGAGCUAAUGAAGAAGAGAAGAACUGAAUAUAAACAUAGCUCAAUGAGCUUUAUUAGCAAAAGAACUAAAAGAAGAUAAAACGUAAGUUGUCACCAGUCGCAAACAGAUUUGGUUAGCAAAAAAAUGUAGAAGGAGAAUUGCUUGUAAUGAAACCCUAGAACACAUGGGCUUAUGACUAUGCUUUGGGCUUGUCUUCAAUAUUAACGACUUAUAUUCAAGACAUUUAGCCUUUAUACAACUUUAUUAGCAUUAAGAAUAUGAUCACAUUAAAUAGCCGGCUUUGUGCUGAAUCAAAGUAUGCAUUUUUAAUGCCAGGCUAAACUUGGGGAGAACAAUUGUUGUCGUUUUCGUAUAGCUGCAGCAAAAAAAUAUUUGGAGAGUACAAUACAUGUAACUAAUGCACUAUUUCUGAAAUUAAGGCUAAUACUUGGGCUUACAUCUGUGUUUGAAAGCAAUAUGAAAUAUACGAAAAAGUUAGUGGAACUUGGUUUUAGUUUGGAUAGUACGAACUACUAAGCUUUAUUUAUUUUUGUUACUUACUUAGUUCGUGCCUUUGUGCCCGUGGAUUAACCAUGCUAUUUUGCAUCACGGAUUCUUAAGAAAAUCCUGAAAUUUCCUAAGACUAGAACUUAUAGUUAACACUGAUACACAUCAUUACAUGAGUUAUCAAAAAUUGAACAUAAUAUAAUGGAAGUUGGGUUAAAAAUGUUAUUGUUGAGUCUACGAAUACGCGUGGCGAAAUUCUUUCUUGCUUUUUUUUUUUUUAAUUUAGUAUAGUGAAAAUCAGAAGACACGAAAGACUGAGAAAAACAAAUUAUAGUCUAAAAAAAUUAACAAAAUCAAGAACAAAGGCUUAAACUCUCAACAUUAAAAACAACUUUAUCAGAAAUUUCACCCAAAAAAAAACUAAAUGUUAAAUUAAUAUCUCAACCAUAAACAUGUGUUUCAUCAUACAAAUCAUAUUUCUUUUAUUACGUCAAAAAUCUCGCCCUAAAAAGUAAUCCAUCAAAGUUAUUAAAAAAAGAGAGACAUUGGGAUGUUUUUACAUAGCACUAGUACAUGCUGCAUGCACCUAUUGAGUUACCAUCAUGUUCACAAUUUCACACAAUCAGACGGAGCAAGUAUGACAACAUAGACCUCCACCUUUGUGUUUCUUUAAUAUCAAACCUCAUUUGUUUAUGAUAAAAUCCUCUUUUCUGUUUUAUAACCAGUCAAACCAUACAUUUACUCACACAUAUAUUCGUAUAUAUAUUAUGUUUUCCGUCAUGUUUGAAUUGUACAUCGACUUGCAAGUUUCGAGUUUUAAUUUAAUGUUUUUGUUUAUACAUAGUGGGAAGAUUACACUGUAGUUAUUUAGGCCAUUUUUAUUAGGCAUUUAGGUUAUGCUAACAGUCAAUCACGAGAAUCUAGAUUGAUACAAGCGGACAUAGAUAUUAUUUGGAGUCUGUAACGUGACUUGAAUCAGCCAGCCUAUACGAAUAGUUUCAAAUCCAUGUAACCAUUGUGUCCACCUUAGGAUCUUUAGAGUGGGCAGGUAUAGUUAAAAGUAACCAAACUUCGAAUUUUAGUAAGAAAUAGGUUCCUGAAUAGGCAGAAAACAUUUUAUCAGUGACAGUAACUUUGAUCCAUUACCCAUAAAAAUACUUGAAUUUUUUUUUGUAACUUAAAAGUACUUAUAGUUAUGCAAUGCUGCUUUUCACAUUUGCCAUUAUCAUUUUAUUACUGCUUUGAAGUUACAUCACUUUUGAAUUUUUACUUUUAUACUAAAUUUAAGUUAUCAACCAUAAUAUGUUUAUCUUGUAAUAUCCAAAUUGUGGAAUAACUGGCUACUACUAAAUUUUAAAUUUGACUAAUUCUAAUAGUAAACAAUAAUAUGAAUAUCAUAAACAUACGAAAUGUCAUAGACAAUGAUGAAAAUUCAGGUUUACAUUUUUAUGCUUCCUAAUACUAUAUAUUAAAAAUCAAUGUGUUUUUUUUUUUGUUUUAGUAUUUUGAAAUAUUUUAAUGUAAAUCAAAAGAUAUUUAACAACAAAAAUCAUAUCUGAUGAGUGUCAAACUCUUUUUUUGGAACGUCCGGAGUUUAAAUGAUCCGGAUAAGCAUCGGCCUUUUUCUUCUUGGCUUCUUACCCACAAACCUCUUUUUGGUGCACUUUUAGAAACUCAUAUUAAGGAACUAUCUUUGCCUCCCAUUAUGUCCAAAAUCUGUAACACUUGGAAUUAUGUCUCCAACCAUUCCUCUGAUGAAGAUGGAAGGAUCGUUCUUAUCUGGAAAGAUCCGCUCAGACUGCAAGUUGUGAAGCAAAGUAGACAAUCCAUGACUUGUACGCUCACUCUCCCAAACAAAGAACCAGUUUAUUUCACCUCAGUCUACGCGGCUAAUACAAGUGAGGAAAGGGUGGAUCUCUGGGUUGAGUUGAUGCAACUUCACGCUUCUCUAAACCUUGACAGCAAGCAAUGGAUCAUUGGGGGUGAUUUUAACCAAAUCACUCACCCUGCUGAUCACUCUUCCCCAACUGUAAACACUCCUGACAACCUUAUGUACCAGUUGCAAGACUGCUUCAUUCAAUGUGGGGCUUUUGACCUGAGAUACAAUGGACCCCCGCAUACCUGGACCAACUAUCAGCCUUCUUACCCGAUUGGAAAAAAACUUGACCGUCUCCUUGUAAACUCCCCCACAAUCUCCUCCCAUCCUCAGGCUUUUGCCUCCUUCCUACCUCAGUUGUUCUCUGAUCACUCGCCUUGCCUGCUAGACCUCGCUUUUACCCUACCUAAAGCUGGAACUAAACCCUUCAAAUUCCAAAACUACCUCACCAAACAUCCCAACUUUCUGGAGGUGGUUUCACGCGCAUGGGUUGAGGCCGGAAACAUUUGUUCGACUCUGACACAGCUUUGUUGGAAACUGAAAAUCAUAAAGAGUGACUUAAAAAAUUUAAAUAAAGAGAACUAUUCUAAAUUUCAAGAGAGAGUUGCUGACACUUACAGUUUGCUUCAAUGUGCGUAGGUACUAGCUCUUCAAUCCCCAACACCGCUUCUGUUCCAACAAGAACGUGAUCUACAUCAAAAGUGGCUGUUCCUAAGACAAAUUGAAGAGAGUUACUUCAGGCAGAAAUCCCGGAUAAACUGGUUAAGUGAAGGUGAUUUCAAUACUACCUUCUUUCACCGCAUGUGUCAAGUUAGAGAAAGCUACAAUGCUAUCCGGUCGUUCCUGUCCAGCAAUGGAAUCCUGGUUACUGACCCGAUGGAAAUGAGUGAACUAGCGGUAGAGCACUUCAAAGCGAUUCUAGGUCCGUCAAACUACUUGAGACCUGCUAUCUGGUCCCCUCACUCCUGGUUUGCGGAUCUCAUUCAGUUCAGAUGUUCCCUGCAACAAUCCCAGCUAAUGUUAUCAGUACCAAGUGCUGAUGCAAUAAGAGCAAUGUUCUUCAAGCUAAACCCAAAUAAAGCUCCUGGGCCUGACGGAUUAACCUCUGGUUUCUACAAAGCAAGUUGGGAAACUAUAGGGCGAGAGGUGGUGGCUGCAACACAAAUUUUUUUCCAUUCUGGGUUCCUUCCUACCACAACUAAUGCCACCAUUCUUUCCCUCAUACCAAAGUUUCCGGGUGCUACAAAAGUUUCAGAUUACAGGCCAAUUGCUUGUCUAAACACAGUUUAUAAGGUGAUUUCAAGGAUGUUGGUUGCGAGAUUAAAGCCUAUCCUGCAAGACCUAAUUCUACCUUGCCAAACGGCGUUUGUGAAAGAUCGCUUGCUAGUGGAAAAUAUUGUUUUAGCUGGGGAGUUAGUUCAUGGCUAUCAUAAGAACAAAGGAAUUCCGAGAAUUACCAUCAAAGUAGACAUCGCCAAGGCUUUCGACACUCUCUCCUGGGAAUUCCUCUUCACUUGUCUUGAAACUCUACACCUGCCUCCUCAUUUCAUCACCUUGCUCAGGGCUUGUGUCUGCAAAACAAGUUUCAUGGUUGGUUACAAUGGAACGGUCAACGGUUAUUUUAAAGGCAAAAGAGGCCUGAGACAGGGAGACCCUCUUUCUCCCUAUCUUUUUGUAAUCGCCAUGAACUGCCUCUCUUUUAUGCUAAACUCUGCAGCUGCUCAGGAAAAAAUCAAAUACCAUGCUAACUGUAAGAAGAUGAAGAUGACGCACCUAUCAUUUGCUGAUGAUCUCCUCAUUUUCAUAGACGGCUCGAUCGAAUUUGUCCAACAGGUGCUGCAUGUUCUUAAAGAGUUUGAGCAAAGGUCCGGGCUCGCAAUAAGUAUGCAGAAAUCGAGCUUCUUUGCCUCAGGGCUCCCUGACCAAGUCAUUGACACAAUCCAAGCUUCUACUGGUAUGAUCUGCGGAGAGCUCCCGAUUCGCUACCUAGGGGUGCCUUUGAAUUCCAGAAAGUUAAACCUUGUCAGCUGUGAACCUCUGAUCCAUCAAAUAAAAAAGAGACUUUCCUCAUGGUCAGUCAAAUCCUUAUCUUUCGCUGGAAGACUACUGCUAAUAAAAACAGUGAUAGCAGGAAUUACUACCUUUUGGUGCUCGGCUUUCAUUCUUCCCAAAGCUUGCGUGAACCGGAUAAACUCUUUAUGUAGUGUGUUUCUUUGGAAAGGGGAUAUCACAAGCCACAACACCGCAAGGGUAGCUUGGGAGACUGUCGUGUUAACUAAGCAGCAAGGUGGUCUUGGUGUAAAGGACCUCCAAACAUGGAACAAAGCAUGCUGUUUGAAACUUGUGUGGCUUCUGUUUUUCAGGUCUGGCUCGAUCUGGGUUGCAUGGUUUAUAGAGGUAAUCCUUAAAGGCUCAAUACACAACUAUUGGACAACCAAACCGAAGGCUUCCUUCUCCUGGCUCGCAAACAAGUUGCUCAAGCUCAAAGAUGUAGUCUUCCCGCUCAUCAAGCUUCGACUGGAGAAUGGUAUGUCGGCACGGUUCUGGUUUGAUAAUUGGUCGCCUUUUGGAAGCAUUGCUACCUAUCUCAACUUGACUGGCUCAAGACUUGGCAUCCCACUAUCUGCAACGGUAGCUUCUCUCUAUAGGAACGGUAACUGGCGUCUCCCACCUGCAAGAUCAGAGCAACAAACCCAACUUCAGAUUCACUUGACGACUGUCAAUUUAACUUCAGAUAAAGACUACUUCGAAUGGGAAAUUGAUAGUAGGGUCACCACCACCUUCUCAACUGGUGAUGUCUAUACCUAUCUUAGAGGAACAGUGAAUGAGGUUGACUGGGCUACUGUGGUUUGGAACUCUUAUGGGAUCCCUCGUCACAACUUCCACACAUGGCUAAUGAUUUUGGAUAGGUGCCCGACGAGAGACCGCUUGCUUCGUUGGGGAAUCUCAGUUUCACAUCUCUGCUUGCUGUGUAACAAUGCUUCUGAGAGCCGUGAUCACAUCUAUUUCGACUGUAACUUCUCCUUCGACUUAUGGGCAAUAAGCGCGAGGAGAUGUGGGCUCACUCCAAACCGUUCCUGGUCAGACACCAUCACGCAACUGAAAAGCCUCCCAAUGGACCGUUCAUCGAGACCUCAUAGACUUCUUGUCCUCCUAGCUUGGCAAUCUACGAUUUAUUGGGUCUGGAAUGAGAGAAACGCACGGUUGCACUCUAACACCUAUCGCUCCAUCGACUCUCUCUUCAAAACUAUUGAUCUUCAGAUUAGAAACAGAACUCAGAGUUUCCGGGUGACUAACCCAAGACUGUCUUCCCAACUACUACAGUCCUGGAUCCGACUUGCAUGAUUUAAAUCAGGUCCCGAUCUUCCCUCUGAAAUCUCCGCCUCACCCCAACUCUUUCUGCGUCUUUUGGAAGAAAAAGACAAAUUGUCGUUCGGUUUACUCCAACUUUGAUUUUGGUAAUACGGGCCAUAUAUCAGUUCCAAACUAUGAGUUUUUUAGUGGGUUUGUAUUUUUAACUUAAGUCCAACGGGCUUGUAAACGUUUUUAUUUUUCUUUGCAGUUAAUUUGAAAGCCAAUUUUCAAAAAAAAAAAUCAUAUACAUGGAAAUAUGAAGGUGAGUGUGGAAAUUUCAAUUUAAAAAAUUUGGCAUCCGGAAAUUUCUAAUUGAUAUAAGAAAUAAAAUAUUAAAUUGCACUGAUUUUUUUUUUAAAAAACCUUUCAAAAUAGCUUUAUAUGUUUAAUAUAUUUAGUAUAAACUAAUUUGUUUUCGUAACAAUGUAAAGCUUACCAACAAUUCUUUUGAUUCUUUCAAAAUAGUAAAAUUAUCAUUCUGUAUAGAAUGAAAUCAUGUUUGGUUAGUAGAAUGAACUAAUAAAUAAAAGUUCAUAGAAAAUAAAUUCUCUAUACAAGAAAAAGACAAUGAAAUUAAACAAAAGGCCAUAAAAAACUAUUCCUUAUUUUAAGAAAUCGUUUAAAAAAGGUUAUAUCCGAAAAGUUGCCUCCCUCACGCCCCUUCAAAGGGGACGACUACAAGCUAGAAGGAGUCAAUGCAAAGAAAUUACUACCAAAUGGCAAAAGAAGUUUCUGUAGACUUUAUAAAGAAUGAAACAUUUCUGAAAAAUUCUUGAAUCAUUUUCUAAAACGCGACAUUCUUUCUGCGACUUUUCAGGAAGAGAGAUUUUGGAAACCAGACAACGAGGCUGAAUACGAACCAGAAGAAGAAUCUCGAUGAUGAUCUUGUCCUCCUAGCUUUAAUAAUCAUCCCUGGUUGGUCCUCACAAGAAUAAAUAAUCCUCUGUUUUGGUCCUCUGUUUUGUCUCUGUUUUGUUCUAAUCCUCUGUUUUCGUCCUCUGUUUCGUCUCUGUUUUUUUCACCAUUCUUUGCUGGUAAUUCGUUACGAUCUCUCUUUCGUCUUUUUUUUACGCAAAUCUCGAUAUAUCUCAUUGAUUUCACCAAACCCUUGUCUCCAAAUCUCAUUAUUUCAAUUUUCAUUCCCAAAAACAAAAAGAAAAUCUCUUUUUUUUAAAAAAAAAAAUCUGUUUUAACGAUUAUCAUGGGCUGUGCGAGCUCGAAGCACCACCGUAAGAAAUGCAUCCAUUGCCGGAGAGGAUAUUCUCCGGUAGACAUUCAGCGAAGCAAAUCUGUGCGCCACCCAUCGCAACGCUCCGACGAUAGCCCCCACAUGGUCCCUCUCAGCUCCUCCAGCUUCGGAUCUCUCAAGCUCUGCGACUACUCUUUCGGACAAGACCACAAAGACUUGCUAGACUUCAGCGGGAAGCUUGUCGCCGACCAAACGGGAGAUGGGUUUGGUCCUAAGGAAGUCAGAGAGAGGCCAGACAAGGAGAGGUCGAGUUUGGAAAUGCAGGCUAAGCUCAUGGAAGCUAAAGUAUGGUCAAGUAUGAUGAGCGGGAAGAUCCCCAAGAUUGUGCCCAAGACUCCUAUCUUGACGCCUCCGGGAGAGCCGGAGACGAUCAAUACUUGGGAGAUGAUGGAUGGGCUUGAAGAUGGACUUCGUUCACCAAACCACGUUAGCAGCUUCUCCUUUGAACUUGCUCGUGGUGGUGAUUGUGAACGUACCAAGUCGAAUUGUGAUCUAAAGCCAUUGUGGCUUCAGAUGGAGGAGGAAGAAGGGCUCGACGAUUUCGAUCCAGAGAUCAUUUCUUCGUUCAGGAAGUCUCUCCAAGAACUCCCUUCUAAUCAUCCUUUCCACAUUUCGGUUCAUGAUUUGAAACUAAACCCACAGUUUGAGUUCUCUGAUGAAGAAGAUGAAGAGGAGGAAGCUGUUGGUAAAGACAAAGUGAUACUCUACUUCACAAGCCUUAGAGGUAUAAGGAAGACAUAUGAAGAAAGCUGUGAUGUUAGAGUUAUACUGAAAAGCCUUGGGAUUAGAGUGGAUGAGCGAGAUGUAUCGAUGCAUUCGGGUUUUAAAGAUGAGCUGAAGGAGCUGCUAGGUGAUAAAUUUAGCAAUGGUGUUGGGAUCACAUUGCCUAGAGUUUUCUUGGGGAGGAAGUAUCUCGGCGGAGCUGAGGAGAUUAGGAAUUUGAAUGAAGAUGGGAAGCUUGAGAAGGUUCUACAAGGAUGCGAGAGGGUGGAAGAAAACAGAGAUGGUAAUGGGGUAGAAUGUGAGGCUUGUGGAGAUGUAAGGUUUGUGCCUUGUGAGACGUGUUCAGGGAGUUGCAAAGUGUACUAUGAAGAUGAAGAUGAAGAAGAUGAUGAUGAUGAGAGUGUAAAGGAAGGAAGAGAGUAUGGGUUUCAAACAUGUCCUGAUUGUAAUGAGAAUGGACUCAUUAGAUGUCCUCUUUGUUGUGUUUGAACAUACACAAAAAAGGGAAAACAUUAAUCUUGUUUUUGUUUGUUUUACUACAUUGGAGUUUUGAGUCGCUUGUGGGUUUUCAUGCCUCUACAGAUUUUGUUGUACAUAAAGAGGUUUUUUAUUGUGAAAAAAAAGAAGAAAAGAGUUAUAUUUUCAAGUAUAAAUUGUUGUUUAUUCUGUUGACCAAAAAAAAAUGUUGUUUAUUCUUUGAAGUUUCAUUCAUGCUUUACAUGUCGUUGGACUCAUAUAUUUGAAAAGGUAGUGGGAGUAGAGGAAGAAAAGUCAGCUUACAAAAUAUGACCGGAGAAAAAUAAGAAUCUUUCAAAAGUCAAGUUCUUGUGCUUUUUCUUUUGUCAAUAUGUCAAAACUCUUAUAUGCUAUGUUUGAAUAAUAGUCAUCAUUCAUAAAGCAUAGUUGAAAACAAAAUGUAGGUAUGUUUGUUUAAGGUAGAUUGUUAAGUUGUGAAGAUCCGAGGAUCAAGCAGAAGGCUGAUUUUAGUAGUCAGGUCCAAGAUGAAAACUUUAAUCAUAUAACCGACAUGAUUUUGAAUAUUUCAGACAUGAUUCGUUUAUCCUAGUAUUUUUGAUAACUCAAAGGUACAUGGAGACGAGCUCUGAGCAAGCAGAUUUCUACCGAGUCCGGCCUCAUGGAUUAGCCAAGGUCUCUUAGUGCGAGCUGUAGAUUAGUUUGACCACUGCGGUUUGCCAUUCGUCUUGCUAGUUCAGUUUAAGCUUAGGUGCUCAAGUCUUUUCUUGUUUUUGGUGAGUGUGUUUUGCUUUCUUUAGCUUGUACUUUAAUUGGAUUGUUAAUUAAUUAGCUUUUCUACUCGGCCCAGACCGUCUACAACUUAGCCCGUUAUGAAUUAACUAGACAAAUUUUUAGGGCCAUGGGUGUAUCAUCAUCGGUAAACUCUCCCGUGUUCAAAAAAAAAAAAAAACUCUCCUAACACUUUUAUUUUUUAAUCUUUCUCGUAAUAUCAUAAUAAAUCAGCGUUAAAAAAAAACUCUUUUAUUUUGACAAUUAAAAAAUACAUCCCUCUUACUUCUCUUUUCUAAUUUUUCAUAUUUUAUUUUUGUUUAAUAUUUUAUUAUAAAAAACGGAAGAAAAGACUAACCGUUGUGCAUGUACAUGCCUAAAAAAACUGAUAACAACAAUUUUAAAAAUGAUAGUUGUGUCCAGAGUUUCUUAUAAAGAGACUCUGGUCUCUUAUCUAGUCUCAGAGAAAAUACAGUCCUCUUGCUUCUCUUUUUUAAUUUUUCAUAUUUUUAUUUUUGUUUAAUAUUUUAUUAUGAAAGACGGAAGAAAAGACUAACCGUUUAAAAAAUAUUAUGAGCAUUUCUUAUGCUUGCAACAAUUAUUUAAGUUGCUUUUGUUUGCAAACUAUAAUUUUAUAUUAAAAUAAUAAAAUAUGUAUUAUUAUGUUACAAAUAAUAAUUUAUGUAUUUGAAGUUUUUGUCAAUAUUUUAGGACAGUGAACAAUAAUUUUAAAUUAUUUUUUGGUCUAUUUAAUUUUCAUUAUUAUUUAGAAAUAUAUAAUUUAUUACUUUAAUGGUAUAAUUGUAAUAUAUUAGUUAUUUUCUAUUUGAUACUUUAUAGUAAAAAUAAAUAUUUUUUAACUUUACCACAUCAGCUUUUUGGAUUACGUUUUUCAACCACUCAUUUUGAUAUAGACCUUGAUUGGUAGAGCAUUAGCAUUAGCACUAUGCUCUACAUUAUCCAAUCAACAAUUGUUAGAAAAGCAUUUAGAGAAACAUUUACUAAAUGCUAAUGCUCUCCAAAUGCUCUCUGGCCAAUGCUCUCAAAUGAAGCUUUUAAAAGAGCAUUUGUAUUUAUAAAUUAUAAAAUUAAAGAAAAUAUAUAAUUAAUUCAUUUAUUUUAUUUAAUAAUAUCAUAAAAUUAUUUUUAUAUCCAGAAAUAAAAUUUUUGAUUUUUAAAAUUAAUUGAAAAUAAAAAUAUUUUUAAAUAGUAUUUCACAUUUAAAAUAUAAUUUAAUUUAUAUAAUUUAAUUUACUUCAAAUGUGAAAUGUUAUUUUUAAAAAUAGAUAUUUUAAUUAUAAAAUUUAUUUUAAAAUAAUAUUUUUUCGAUAUAAACAUAAUUUUUAAAUUAUUAAAUAAAAUAAAUUAAUUUUAUUUCUAAUUAAUUUUAUAUGUUAAUAUAUAUAUAUAUAUAUUAGAAAUAUAUUCAUUAAAAAUAAAUAUAUUAUAUAUUAUAUAUUAAUUUUUAUAAUAAUUUUAAAUAGCAUACUCAUACUGCUCUACCAAUCAUCCUAUUAAACAAUUUAGCAAAAGCAUGCUUUUGCAGCAUACUCCUUCUAUAGCAUACUGCUACAGUGCUACUGCUAUUGCUAAUUGUUAUUGCUAAUGCUCUACCAAUCAUACUGCUACAGUGCUACUGCUAUUGCUAAUUGCUAUUGCUAAUGCUCUACCAAUCAAGGUCAUAUAUAGUAUUCUAAUCAAGAUGUACAGUAAACAUGUUUUCUGAUGACAUUACGCCUGAUGAUGAAUCGCCAAUGUUGAAUCUUAUAAAUUUCUCCGAUUCACCCAACCAAUAUCUUCCAUUAAUGGUAUAUUCUUCGCUUUCUCUUCCACAAUUGAAUUUUUAAAUAAUAUUGUGUUCUAAUUUAUCAAGGAUAAAAUCUUUGGAUAUAAAUGAAAUGCAGAAUAAUCUCCAAAUUUAUUGAAUGCAGACGGAAAGACGCAUGAAUAGUUUAUUGGAUUGAUCCAUGUGUAUAUGAUGAAUGAAAAUGAUCUCCUUAGUAUGUUUUCAACAGUUAAAUCUAAUCACAAAUCUAAUUAACUAGCAUUAAAUCCAGUUAUUACUACACUUUGACAUGGACCAUAAUCUAAGCUAAUAGCGCUAUUGACUGUGAUAGUGUGCUUAGAGCAUGAUUAAUCCGGGGUUUUUAGGAUGAGGUUCUUAGCGGAAGUUAAAAAACUGUUUCUUAACUUUUAACUAAAAAGCCCUUAUUUAAGAACCGGUUCUUAGCCUUUUUAAUUAAAAGUUAAGAAACAGUUUAUUAACUUCCGCUAAGAACUCUACUGUAAGAACCCCGAGUUAAUCAUGGUCUUAUAACUCAACGGUUUGGUCAUGUUAGGACCCAUGUUCUAAAACGCCGUCGUAGAGGCCAUUUACUCGCCGAGUACGCGGUAGGCGGUGAAGAACAUGAUUUAGUGUUUUUAAGUAGAAACCGAGUUGAUUUUGUGAAGUAAACGAGUUAAUUUAGUGAAGAAAUAGGUAUAAACUUUCAUGAUAACAAUGGCGGACACGCAGGAAAAUAAUUAGGUUAGGAAGAAGAAGAUUCGAAAAUUAUGUUUAUGAGUAAAAAAAGUCUAAAUGCAUGGGGGGGGAGAGUAUCGAACUUGUCUCUUGGUAGUUGUACAAGAGUGCAUUUACCAUUCUAGCAGUGAAAAAACAUUGUUAUCACUCAAUAUCGUUAAAUAUAUUACUUUAAAUUUUAAAUUUUUAAUAUAAAUAAAAAUAUAAUAUUAAAAACUAAUCUCCAAUUAAUCUCCGAAUAAACUCCGAGAUUUUGCUAACUCGCUAGGUCCAUAUCAACCGCCCGACUCACGCUUAACGCAAUUUCGAACAUGGGUUAGGACCAACACCAAACCCAUAAUUAUCAUGAAGAACAAGUCGAUUCACAUGAGUCUUUCUUACGAGAAACUCUUUUUAACGGGCAUUCAAGUGAACAACAACGUUCCUUCAGUCAAUCCAUGUUGAAUUUCCUUCAGGAGUCAAGUGUUUUCACAAUGAUAUAUAACAAUCUUUGGGAGGAUUUCAAUUUCAUAACUAUAAUAUAUUAAGUCUUUUGUCUAAUAAUUUUCAGAACCAAAGAGUGAUUGGUCAAAACCUCGAGCAAGGAAACAACGGAUAGUCCCUGUGUUGUGGCUCGUGUCUCUUUCUAUUGUUCUUUGGUGGUUGAAUACUUAGGGUUCUUCGAGGACAGUCCCGCCGUGUUCCCUCCAGGUCAUGAUGCUAGAACCUCGCUCACACUCGGAUUCACCUGUUUUUGAGGUGUCUAUUGACUUCUCCAGAUCUUCAUCUCCUUCGCAAUGCUCCGGGAUGCUUCUCUUGACUGAAUUGUUGUCUGCACUUAAUCUCUGGGUCGCGUGGCCGGAUAUGGGAGCAUUUUGACCGCCUGCGCUUGACCAUGAUACCUGCGUUUCAAAGCAAGUGUGGUCAGCUUUGAUAGUCAGGUUGUGAGCUUCCCGAGCGGUUAUUGGUGUUGUCUUCAACGAAGCCCACCUCAGCUUGCACCGGAUUGGGUGUUGCCGGCCCUCCGUCGUCGCAGCUUGAGAGAACCUCUGGGUUUGUCUUCGGCAUUUCAACACCGUUUUAGCCUACUCUUCGAUUCUUAAAGCUCAGCCUCAGGUAUCCAGAAAUGCUUGUGUAAGGUUCUAAUAGCUAAUGUUUAUUCACUUCGUCUUUUAACAUUAACGGUCAGCAAUUUCCCUCAUCAGCUUUAGCCAAUUUGCCAUAUGAACCUCCCAAUCCAAGGAUGGUUGACAAUUCAGUUGGGUAAGAUCAUCUGUCUUUCUCGUAUUUAAUUGCAAAUCAGAGAUUUAUGUCAGUAAUUUCUCAUAAUUAAUUUGAAAGCAACAAAAGAAACCCAGGAUACGAUCCCACUUCUAUUUUAUGUUUUUAAUUUUUUUCUAGUGCAAAAUUAUAUAACAAUUACGGUAAUUACAAUUUUAAUUAACAGUAUAUGAUUCUCUUAAUGUUUAUAUAUCUACUAGUAACAUUAGCUCUGUUUGUGGAAGAUUGGUCAUCCACAUGCAAAUUUUACUAGGUUUGUGCAUGAUCUAUUCACUCGACAAAAUCAAACCAAUGUGAUUUCUAUAUUUAGUUAUGUUCCACGAAGUAGCAAUUCAAUUAUAUCUAGACCACAAAUGUCUUUGAUGUGUUCUAGCGUGUAAAUUAAUUUUCAACUAUUGUAUCUAUUACAAGAGAACUAUUAAGUUUUCAUGUUUUUAGAUAUUACUAGGGGCGGCCCGCCCUACGGGCGGGAUGAUAAUUUAAAAAUAAUGUAAAUAGUUAGAGUAAAUAUUUAAUAUAAAUUUUUAUAUUUAAAAAUAUACAUAUUAGUUAAAUUAUGUACGUAUUAUUGUAUUUGAAGACUAAAUAUACCCUGCUGUCUUGAUAAGUAGUUUUGAUUUAUUUAUUUUUUCAUGGUGCCAUCACAUCAUUUUUGGUAAUUUUCUGGAGUUGGAUGAAUCUAAAGAAUCUCGUGAGGAAAGAAAUUGACUUGUAAUUAUAGAUUAAGUAAAUAUAUGAGUAAAAUUUAUUAUUAGGUCUGUUAAUUAUUAUUCAUGUAAACCGUAAAUAAUAAUACUAAAGUAUCGUAUCUCGACAUGUUGAGCCCCUUUUUAAUUUUUUUAUUAAUAUAUAUAUUGAUUUCCAUCAGAAUAUACGAAUGACUAUUUCUACUUAACAAUAUUAUGGAUGUACAAUCUAUGUUUUUUGCUUUUUUAAUAUUACUUUUAAAUUUUUCGUUUAUAAGUAUGUUUGAUUAGUUUAUAUUGUAUGGAUUAUAUUUUAUGAGGUUAUGUCACGCACCAGUUGUGUUGAUUUAUUUGAAAUAUAUUUAUUUUAUUUGCUGUGUAAAUAAGGUAGUACGAUAUAUUCCAUGGCUAUAUUGAACCAUUGGAACACAUUAAAUACAUAUUAGGAACUUUGUAUUUGAAACCAAUUAUUAGAAUAAUGAAUCAGUUUCAAUAGGAUGUUUUCCAUGAGAACAGGAAUUUAGUCAGAUAAGUCAGAGUCGUCUGUUGACGGAAAUUUAAAACAAAAACAGAGUCAAGAGUCUAAAACUAUUAGUAUUUGUAUUUCUGAAAACGAUGUCUUUGUAUAAUCUCAUAAGGGUUGGAUAUCAGAUUGGCUGCUGUUCCUGCAAUGUAAGUGAUUUACUCAAUAUUUUUUUUAAAUACCAAAAAAAAAACAACAACAACUGUUGUUAAUAAUAGCAAUUACUAACAUUGUCCAAAACAACUAUAAUAACUUCGACAAAGAGUUCCUCUAAAUUAAAACCUCUUUCUCCACUAUUUUAUAAACGCUGACAAAAAAAGAUACAUUGGUAUUUGAAAACUCAAGGUCAUUCUCUUUUGAACAAUUUCGAUUGAUUUAUAUAUUUACAUAUUAUAAUACGUAAAACACUACAAAAUCUUACAACUCUAAACUAAAACAGCAAAAAUACUAAGAAUCAGUCAUUUUUAUUUAUAUAAUUAGAAUUUGGUGUAGACAACAUAAUCAUACUCACACCCAAAUUAACAUAAAAGAAAAUUUACACAAAUUAUAUCUUUUAUAAAAACUGAUACAUCAAAAUUUAUUUAUUCUUAUAUAUAUUCUAGUUUGUUAUAUAUUGAGAAAUUGCAUCCUAUACAUACAACUUUUUUUCUUAAUUAGGUAAAUACCCAAAAUCCCACAUAAUGGUGCUUUGAUUGCUAGACACUAAAAUUUAAUGUUAUAGGUAGAUUGCUAAUAUUCAUAUUCUUUUUGUAUAAUGAGCCAAUUGACUCUUAUAUAUUCUAGUUUGAGAGUUGACGGGUCAGCUCGUGGAGCUCAUCAAUUCUUAAAAAGGAAAAUUUUGUUGACCCAAUUUGGGGUGUGAUGGUUGGCUUCCAAAAAGUAAUAUGACGAAGAUUUACAUUGUGUAUAGCCAAAACUAAUUUGAUAAUGAAAUUUUCACUAUAUAUAAUGACCGUUAAGGAAAUGAGGUAAAAAAAUAAAUGAUUAUUAACUCGUAGAUAUUCGAUCAAUCUAUUACCAAUCAUAUACUAAACAACAGAUAAAGACAAUGAAGCACAUUGAAAUGAGUAACAAUAUAUAUAUAUAUAACGUAAAAAUAUGGUUUAAUAAUCAUAAAUUAGAACUUAAUAGUUUUAAACUAAAACCUUUUAAAAAAACAAUGACCAAAAGUUUUCAUGCAAAAUCCAAUCACCAAGUGCAUAACCAUAUCAAGCCUUUCCACUGAUUUCUGAGGUUCGUAUACCUAAAGUAAACAAAUGCAAGACUACCCGAAUCACCAGUCAAAGAAUCUAUAUAAUAAGAGAAAUAUAGGAUGGAUGAAUUCAGGAUGAGAGAACGCACAUCUAUUUAUACUCAUAAAUCACACCGCCUAUGAGACUUAAGGAUCGCAUUGAAGACACAUCGUGGACGUAUCAAUCAGUGUGAGUAAAGAUUGAACCGUUCAUCUGCGGGUGAGGAAUCGAAAUCGUCAACACACGGCGGAGAAUGGUAGAAACGAACUUUCUGAUUGAAGAUUUGCAAAGCCUGUUGAGUGAGUGAUCAAAGAAUCGGAUCUCUUGUUCUAAAUGUUGAUAGAUAUUUCCGAUCGCAAAUCUAAAAUGUCAUAAUUGCAAGUAAAAUGAAUGUUUAUUUGAUAUUCGAAAAAUCAUUUAUUUAUGGGAAUAGUAUAUUUUUAUUAAAAUGAAAAGGAAGAAAAAUGCAAAAGAUAUUAGUAAUGGAAAGUCUCCGUUCCACUCUCUCCUCUUUUCCAUCGUCAAUACCUCUCUCCAUUUUCUUCACUGCCUUCAUCCUCCUGCUCCUCUCCUCUGUUGCCGCCGCUUUCCUCCUCUUACCCUGCUGCACGCGUUUCGGGCGGUUGGCUCUACCGAGAAGUCUCGGACUUCACCUCAUUGGCGAGACUCGGAUCUGGUCGGAGCUUACAAUACGGAGGAUCCUGGGCCUUAAAUUGAGGAGAAAAUUUCCCAGAAUCGGUUUUAAUGACGCAUAUAUUGGUGAACUGAUGAUUUGCUUAGCUGACCCGGAGUCGAAUCGGUUUCUUAUUCAGAACAAAGAGAAGCUUUUGGAUUGCUCUCAUAUUGUCUCCCUUCAAACGGUCAGAACCAAACCAUUUUGUACUCUAUUUCCUGCACUUGAGUUUCAGAGGAUUAUAAUGAUUUAGAUUUGAGGGGAAGAAAGUGAGGUGAUGAAUUUCACGAAAGUUUACUCCAUUAUUUAUAGGUACAGAUUCGAUAUUAUAGAAGGAUGGGUGUAUAUCGUCAAAAAAAGGAGGGAUGCAUUGAAUGUGGCGUAGUGGAAAGAGUGGUUCAAUGAUAUUGAUAAGAACGUUACUUAUGUUGAUUGACUGCAAAAGUAAAUCGUUCAGAAGUAAUAGAUUGAACAAUUAUUUUGAACGUUACUUUUAUUAUAUACUGUGAGUUUCAUACUCUGUGGACAUGUGUCACACUUACAAUAGCCUAUUUUCUGAUGUGGAUUCCUAGGUGGCAUCACCAAGAUUCAAACUCUUCUUUAUAUAUAAAGAUUUUGUGUGUUUUUGUGUUUUAAAACAUCGAAUCUAUCUUUUGGACUUCAUCUCUUCAUGCACCAUGGCAGUAUGCAAAGAUUGGGACGUCAGUCUUCAUCGAGAUCCAGGUCGUCCAACUUAAACACCGAAAUGCGUAUACGUUCAUCGACAAACUCAACCAUACCUCCACAGGUACCAUAUUUCCAUGCCAAAUAACAUUAUAUAUUCAUAAUCUUCUAAUUUUUUGCUUGAUAUGUUACUGGAAUGAUAAAUAUUGUAGCAUUUAAAUCUUGUGACCUCCAAAUAGAAAAACAAUGAGUUUAGUUCAACUAGACAGUCAUCAAAUUAUAUUGUAGCCAUUGUUGUAUCACCAAAAAAAAAAAUUAAUUGAUAAUAUGAAUUUCAUAGAGUGGAGUUUUGGGAUCUCGUCGAAGAAGUUAUGAAAGUCAAGUUCAAUUUGAAGAAUCAUCAUCUUUAACUCAACGCAGGGUACAAGUUCUUGUAACAUACAUAAACUUUUUUUUUUACAUACAUAACUUAUUCCCAAAAUAAAAAACUAAUGAAAGAGAAAUAGUAUAAUACAUUGAUUAAAUAAUGCAGAGGAUAACACCGGCAAGUGGAAAUGUUGGUUCACGUACAAUCUAUCCCGGUGAAGAAAGGUGUUUUCCUAUCUAUUGACAGACAAUUCACACCUUUCUCAGUUCCUUAUAUUUAAAAAUACAAUUUAUGUUUCUGCGAGUCUUAAUUCAAUCUGGAAUAAUUAAGUAAUGAUAUGUUAUCUAACAAAUACAUCUUUUUAGGAGAGCAUAUCAAAUAUAUGAUCCUAUUUAUGAAAGUCUCGGCCAAUAUAUUGAUCCUCAUAUGAGAUGUCUUUUUUUUUUGAACUGAGCCUCAUAUGAGAUGUUAUGAUCGAAUAAACGGUAAUUAUUAUUUUUCACUGUUAAAUUUAUGAGUUUGGUUGAUUGACUGAUAUAUAUAUAUAUAUAUAUAUAUAUAUAUGAAUUUUAUUUAAGAUUAAAUUAACCUUUUAUGAAGUUUGGCAAUAUUAACAUCUUAUUGAUUCAUGAUGUGUUAUUUUUAAUCUAUAGGUCGUUGAUCUAUCUUCAAAGACCUUGAAUAUGCCAAAAGGGUAAUAAUGUAUUGCUAUGGUCCCUCCUUUGUUUUAUGUUGUUGCAGCAGCAAGUGUUUAUGAUGUUUUAAGGGUUGAUGUCAGUUUACAUUGUGAUAUUGUAAACCUUAUCUGGAAAUCGCUUAAACAAGUAUAUUUGUUUUUCUUCUUUUAAAGGUUUUUCCUCCACCCCUUUCUCAUUAAAUCUUUGAAUUAAUGUAGUAUCAUAGAUUCAUAUAUAGUCCAUCGCAGCCUCUAUUCUUAUCCCUUUUCACUUUUAAUCUAUUUUUAUUCUUCUAUUGUCUCUGAAAAGCUACAAACUGCACAAUGUGAAGUAUUGCUAUGACAAUCAAUCUAAAGGCAAAGCUUUAUAGACUAGUUGAGCCUCAUACAUUAACAGAACAACUUACCGGUGACAACAAAGAGACAUGACGAUGACAAUGUUUUUUUGACUAAAUUUGAUGCAUUAAAAUUAAAAUAAAGUAACCAAAGUUUAACGAUGACAAUGUUAUUAAGAUAAGGUUUACAAAUGUUAAUAGCAAUAUUAAACUCAAAAGAAUAUUCCUUAAGCUUAGAGCUUGUCGACGUUAUUGUGAUGGUAUAUAUCACAAACUUUAUUUUAACAGCAUUAUAUCAUAUUUUUUUCUUUCCAUGUUAGCUCCUAUUGAUCACAUUUAACUUAUGCAAUGUAUAAUAUAAUUGAUUGCGAAGACGCAUUUCUUAUCGUUAACAGUUAUUUGUCGAAAGUAAUAUUAUUGUGUGAAAAGUGCGGGGAUGAAAUUUACUUGAUUGUUAAUUUUUUUUUGAAACCAAAGUAAUAUUACUCUCGGCAAACUGAUAUUUCGUCAUGGGACAUUUCUCAUACCCACAAAACUAGGGGUGGACACUUCGGUUAUUUUUUUCGGUUCGGUUUGGGUUCGAUUCAAUUUGGUUAAUUUGGUUCUAGUAUUUUUCAAACUGAAGUAAACCAUAGUUAGUUUAGUUCGUUUCGGUUUAUAUUCGAUCGGUUUGUAUUCGGUUCGGUUUGUAUUUGGCUUAGUUUGUUUUUUUGGAUCGGUUUAAUCACUACAAGAAAACAUAUUUAUUACAAGGGUCAUAUUCCUUGUUAAUUCAUUGUAAUAGAAGGGUUACAACGAAUUAACAAGGAAUAGCGUUUCGUUGUAAAACGUCCGUCGUAAUGCAAGAUUCGUCGUAACUUCCAUGUAACAUUUACGACGAAAUAAAUUCGUUGUAAAAGCGAAAGAGAGUAUUUCGUCGUAGUUUCGUAGUUACGCUUCAUCAUAAAAGACUCGUAUAGUUUCCUUGUAAAGUCGUCUUUAAGUACUUGUACAAUUUACGACGAAUUUACAAGUCUUUUAAUGUAAAGUCCUUGUAAUAUUUACGAGGAAUUUACAAGUAUUUCCUAGUAAAUUUCCCGUAAAGAUUACGAGGAUUUUACAAGGAAGUACUUGUAAAAUCCUCGUAAUCUUUACGAGAAAUUUACAUCUCAUUGUCAUAUUAUUAUAUUAUUAUGAAAUAUUCAAAAUCAAAAUAUAUAAUUUAUAAAAUAAAAUAUUGAAAAUUAAAAUAUUUUUUUAAAAAAAUAUAUAAAUGUCAUAAAAUAAUAUUCAAAUUAAUAAUAGAAAACAAAAAAAUUGAAAAACAAAAAGCUAAGGGAGAACGCCGUCGAAGUAGUUGUUGGAGGUGUUUCUUCUUGGAGAGUCUCGUACUUCAUCUAUGGGUUCCGUCUCGAAGAGUAGGAUGAAGUCGUCCUUGUGGCUUCAUUGAUGAAGCUUAUUCAUACCGUCAGUUCCAUCUUUUUAGGAGCCACCUUGAAAAAAGAAACAUAUUAAUAUAAUUAAUUACAUAAAAUUAUAAGAAAAUAAAAUAUAUUUAAUUUUUUUUUAAAAUAUCUAAUCAGUCGUUUAAAUGCCUCAACCUAAUAUUUGAAUAUAGUGUUGUUACCUAAAAUUACCACCUAAUCUAAUUAACUAAACUAAUCACCUAAACUAAUUACCUAAACUAACCACCUAAACUAACCACCUAAACCUAAAUUAAUAUUAAAAACAACAUACCUUUGAGAGAAGGAGAGGAGUGGUUUAAGAUGAAUGAAGGAGGCAUUCCUCAUUCAUGUUUCGAGUUUAUAUAAGAAAACAACAUUCCUCGUAAAGUCGUCGUAAUUUUACGAGGAAUCUACCAGGCCCGCGUUUUUAGUGGUACGAGGAAUCUACCAGUUCCGCGUUUUUAGAAUUACAACGAAUUUACAAGGAAUAUUUACGACGAAUUUACAAGGAAAAUUUUACGACGACUUUACAAGAAAAGCUUUACAAUGAAAUUACAAGGAAAGCAUUACAACGAAUUUACAAGGACACAUGUAUUACGAGGAAUCUACCAGGCCCGUGUGUUUUCUAUUACGACGAAUUUACUAGGACUAUAUCUGAAACCCCGAAAAUCAAAUCCCUAAACCCCAAAUCACUUAUCUAUUUACACCAUACCCUUUUACCACAUCAUCCCCUUUAUCAUAUUUUUUCUUAAACCCUAAACUCCAAUUGAAUCCUUAAAACGCAUAAAACGCAAGUUAUAAGUACUAUAAUCAAACAACCACUUGAUAGCAAAUAAUCAAAUUAUUUUGUAAUCUCUAAACCGAGGGUAUGAAAUGAAGUUAACUUGCUUGGCUUGAGAAUGCUUACAACAAAAUCAGUUUGGUAAAACAGCUUAAACACGUUUUCACCAAAAAUAGUGGUAACAUGUUUUGUGAAAAAAAUCCUUGUAAAGUUACAACGAAUUCACAAGGAAAGCAUUGCAACGAAUUUACAAAGAAAGAAUUACAACGAAUUUACAAGGACACAUGUUUACGACAAAUCUACCAGGCCCGCAUUUUCAGAGUUACAACGAAUUUGCAAGGGAGCAUUACAACGAAUUUACAAGGAAAUCUUUACAACGAAUUUACAAGGAAAUGAUUACAACGAAUUUACAAGGACACGUGUAUUACAAGGAGUAUACCAGGCCCGUGUUUUCCAUUACGACGAAUUUACUACGACUAUAUCUGAAUCCCUGAAAAUCAAAUCCCUAACCCCCAAAGUCUCUUACCUAUAACCUCAUAUCCCUUUUACCCCAUUCCCCCAUUCUCCCAUUUAUCCUAUUUUCUCUUAAACUCUAAACUCCAAUUAAAUCCUUAAAAGCCAAGAAAUAAUUAUUACAACCAAACAAUAUACACUUGCAUUAAGUCUUAAACUGAUUUAUAAAUUUUUUUAAAAUAUUUAAAACAUAUAUUACAUCAUUUUGAAUCAUUCGAGUUUUCAACAAUAUCAGUACAAUGAUUAUCAUCGCUUGCAUCGAACUCUUCUUCACUUUCUUCAUCCGUCAUAUCGUCGAAAAGAUCUUCACAUUGACGGUUAUCCACAUCAAUUAGAAGGAUGUCAUCAGUUUGUUGUUCAGAUACUUCCACUUCAGUGAUACACACUUCUUCUUGCAAAAGUGAUUCUUCUCUAGCAACUAUUCGUUCACGAGGUGUAACUUUGAUAGCAGCUAAUCAAGUUAUUCCAAAAUCUCUAAACCGAGGGUAUCAGUUUGGUAAAGCGUGCUUAAAACACAUUUUCACAAAAAUUAAUGGUAACAUGUUUCGUCGUAAAAGCCUUGUAAAGUUACAAGGACUUUACAACGAAUUUUCUCUUUCCUCGUAAAAUCGACGUAAAUUUACAUGUAAAUUACCACGAAACAUUUUCCUUGUAACUUUACUACGACUUUACGACGAAAUUCAGUUUUGUCGUAAAAUCGUAGUAAUUUUCUCGUAAAUUUACGAGGAAUAUAUUUUCUCGUAAUUUUUCCUCGUUAUAGGCAUGUUUUCUUGUAGUGAAUUAGAUUCUUCUUAGUUUAAUUUUUCGAAGAAAAAUUAUGUUUUACAACAUAAUUUGUGUAAACAUAAACUAUGUGAACUAAUUUCAAUAUAAAACUGAAACAAAAACCUUUAAAAGUCACAAAAAGUAUAUAUAAGAAUUAAAAAAAAUGAAAGUUAACUAAAAAAAAACAUCAUUAAUAAUGUCACUUAUAUCAUUAAAAUUAAAAAGCAUGGAAUGAAUGAAAUAUUUUAAAUCAAAUAUUUUGAUGAUUACUUAUUAAGUUAGAAUUAUAUAUGUUAAUGAAUAAAAAAUGGAAAAUAUGUGGUUUAGUAUUAGAAUUUUAGUAUAUUGGUAUUACUAAUAUUUUUAAUAAUUACAAAAACACAUCGGUUUUUCUGUUCGUUUCGGUUUUAAACAGAACCGAACCAUUUGGGUUGGGAAAAUCUUCAACCGAAUAGUUUGAAAUAGACUUUGAUUCGGUUUGAAUCGGUUUCGGUUCGGUUGGUUCGGUUUGACUCGGUUGGGUUCGUAAAUUUUGCCCACCCCUGCACAAAACCAAAGUUUUUCCAAAUAGAUUUAUCGGACGUUAAAUGUAGAUACCCCUCAUUACUUCGUCAACGUCACGUGCAUUUAUAGAAUGCAAUAAAUUAUGAGCCGGUGCAUACCCAAUAAAUAAUAAAUAUUAAAUAUUUUAUAUAACCGGGAUAAGGUAUAUAUAUUUGUUAGUAAUGAAUUUUAAAACUUUCAAGUAUUUUGAUAAGAGAUCAAUUUAUCCAUUAGGAAUAAAAAUAGUACAAUGGAUUAUUCAUUAUUUAUUCAUUCUGCAUUUUCUUCUAUCUUUUGACUGACACAAUCGAGUUCACACACCUCAGACCAUAAUUAUCGUCAACACGUUUUCAUAGGCUCAAAUUUUUUUUUGUUUUGGCCGACUUAAAAAAAAAAAUGCGCAUCAAUCGUGGACUGCCACGUAUCAGUGGAGUCCGCCAACGGUGCAAGAAAUAUACCAAAGUCAUCUUUAUUUCAUCUCUUCUAUUACCGUUUUUAACACAAAAAAGUGGACCCUACCACUUAAAACCCCCUCUCGUAACGAGCGAUAAUCCUGUUCUCGAUGAUCGAUAUUUUGUAAGCACAGAACAUAAUCAGACUAUAAUUAAAUGUAACUGCUGGACCGAAAUUCGGAAGCUCAUUAAAAACACGUCGCUUGAUAGUAUAUUAAGGACGAUCAACAUAUUACAUAUAAAUUAAUAUUUUCUAUUAUAAUAAAUCACUAUAUUGGAAGGUUACAUAAGCAAGCUUCUAAUGACGGCAGCUUCUUGGCUAUCUUCAUCAACUGAGUCGAGGAGCUGCGACAAACGGUCACUGAGAUUGUCAACUUUUCUAUGCAGCUUUCUUAUAUAGUUGCAUGUCUCUUGUAGUACCUUCGAUGCUGACACCUAAUAUUUAAUAUUAUUUGCAAACAUAAUCAAGACCACAUACAUGUACGGACAUCACGCAAACAUGAGUUUUUAGACGUUUCCAUUUGGUCAAAAUAGAAAACAAAUACGCUGUCAGGAGUCAAAAGUUUCGACGUUUAGUUUGAUAAAUUUGUGUUCCAUCUUCUUUUUAACGAAAAAGUUAUUUUCUUCCUUUUUAAAAGGGGAAAAACUGAACUAUAUAUAAAGAGGUCGGGCGAAAUUGAUGUUAUGCAUUUUACCUUGUCAGAACGGCGUCGUUCACGAAUCUCAGGCAAAAGAACACGGAGCUUACUUACGAGGUCGAUCAUCUGGUCAUCGGAGAUCCUCAGAGCACUUGAAGAUUGUCUUGAUCUUCUGUUAGACAUUCUUUGUAGGAUUUUACUUGUUGCUUAGUUGUAACACUACUUAUGUCGCAAGAAAGUGAAACUUAAGCUGCGUACUUUAUCUCUUUCUCCGGAUUGGACAAUAGAGAAGAGAUGGGGAGGAGUAGCAAGAGAUAAAAAGGUUAUAAUACUUAAUAAGGGAGUUAAGUUUAUGAAGAAAAAUAAGAGUCUAUAUAGCCAGUAGAUAUAGAAGGUUUAUGUUUAUUCCACGAGUUUUAUAUUUUGUUGAAGGUGUGGAAGCAGAAAGAGAAGAAAACUGAAAUGUAAGGAAGUAUUGUGUAAAGACACUUAGAGAUAUGAAGAAACUGAGAAAGUGAUAAGAGGGACUUAAAUAGGUCGAGGACCACAGGAGAGGGAUUGAGAGAGAAGAGAGAAAUAAGCCUAGACAAUGAUGUAAUAUGAGAGAAAUAGAUUUGAUAACCUCUAACCGAAAUCGUUUGAAAUAAUUUAUAGAAAACUUUUAUCUCGUGUAUAUAUAUACCUAGAGGGUAGAUGUGAAAUGGAUAUGUAAUAUUAAGAUCAGUAAUCAUUUUUUCUUGCUAACUUGUACCAUGCAAUAGUUUAUGCUUAUAGUGGUAUAAUAGUGACAUAUUUAUCUCUUACAAAAUAUAUGAGUGUUUUUCUGAUAGACAUUUAUCUAUGAAAAUAUCACAAAUUACUCGUAUUAUCCAGAUUGCAACAUGUUUAGCUAUCUCUAACAGAAAGCCAUAGCUAAGUUACAGUAAAUUUUAUGGAGAGAUCACUACCAAUUUUAAAUAUCAUUUGUUUGAAAACACAAAAACUAGUAAAAAUAUUGAUAAUUGAGGUUAUUAUAUAUAUAUGUUGAAUAAUGGAGGAGGGUUUGGAUUUUAAAUAGAGAAAGAUAUGAAAAAGCUGUGUGUUCCCAAAGCUGCUAUUGAAGUUGAAGUGGGAUUUAAGAGAAGUGUUCCAUGUUGAGCUAACAAUGUGGCCCUUUAUGUGCAUGUCGCUAAAAGGCAAUACCAUGUGAUGACAUUGACUUUCUAUAUUCAUUUCCAUUACUAUUUACUAAAUUUUCACAUUGUGUUAGUAUUAAGAACUAGAGCUAGUGAAUAAUCUAGAAAGUUCAUAGCUGAUCAUCUUUAAAAAAAAGAAGAAUAUAGAUCAUUUGUGUAUGCGUUGUGUUUAUCAAUGUUCGCUGAAUCUAAUUACUGAAGCAUUACAUCGAAAAAGGAUCAAGCGUGGACUUCCUUCUACCUUGAAACUGAUUACUCAAAAAAAAGUAGUCAUGAUAAGUUCGUCUUCUUCCUAAUUUAACUCUGUUUCGGAAACUUGAUUUUGUACACUUGAUGCUAAACGGCAUACAUGUCCCAUGUGGUUGCUUAAGAUCUCGGAUUAUGCCUCCUUAAUUAGAUUCUUAAUCAUGAUUACCACGGGAACAAAAUGUACUUAAUUACGUCCUUUGUGUGUGCAUUAUUUACAUAACAUACAAAAGUAUCAACAAAUUAGGGAAAAUGACUAAUUAAUUCCCAUUGAUUAUAAAUUUUAGUCAACUUAACCAUGUUUUCUUCUCCAAAAUCAGUGGUGUUGUGAUUCACAUUCCCAACGCAACAUACCUUCCAAAAUUACUGUUACAAAGUUUAAGUUAGGGAGAAGUUCGUACUUAUUAAUAGAUUAUAGUUUACCUUCUAGUUUAAAAUUUACAAAUGGACAUUUUAGAACUUAUGCUACAUAAGCUAAAAAGAAAACAAAUAAAUAAAAAUUACCUAUUUGAAAUAAUAGAAGGGAGAAUGAACAUCUUAAGCCAUCUUUUUAAUUUCUAAUUUUCCCAUUUUCACAUUUCAAAUAGAUUAUGACAUGGCUUGAUGAGAGAAACAUGUCAAGCAACAUUUUCAUACUAAUUAUUUAUUUAUUUAUGGUCCUUCAUGGGGACACCAAAGUAUGAUAUUGUUAAAGCAUUGCUUGGCUAAAUUUCACAUCACAAUGGUUAAUUGGACUAGUAUGGUUGUUUCAUUCUCUAUUUUAAUGAACUUAUUUUAAUGAACUUAUCAAACAAGUUUUAAUCGAUUAAAGAUAAGCAAUAUAACUAUAUUCUACUUAUUUUGAGCAGGGUAAAUGAUUUUCAGAUGGUAUAUAUUGCGAUUAUAACCGUUAAAUACAUAGAAAAUAUUUAAAGACUAAUUUGGCUCUUUUCCUUCAAACUUGAAUUUGUUUCUUAAAAUAGUAUUUCGCAAUUAUUUCUAUAGCUUUGGAUUUGGUUGAGGCAGCCAAAUAUGUGUUGAAUAUUCCACCUCUUCUUCCUAAUAAAUAUUUUGUAAAACUCACUCCAUUCUUUUGUAAAAUAAUGCAGAUAAAUGUAGACAUUGUGCGUGUAUAAUUGUAUGUAUGUAAUAUACAUAUAUAAUUAGUUGCAGGAGAUGUAACAUGCUAGUCCAUGUGGGUUUCGGGUACUAAAUGUUAGGCCGCUUAGGCUCCACAGUGUUUUUAUGUCCAACGAUCUCUUUAGAUUUUUCCUAUCAACUUUGGUCCAUUCAAACAUAAUGUAACAAAAUAAGAAUUUUAAAUAUAAGUUAAUGAAGAAAUGAUGAGAAAAGGCAGCCAUAUGCAAUAAUUGAAUUUUCGUAUGCAGCUAUAUACAGUAUUCUCAUUUAAAUAGUUGAAAUUUUUGGUAUAGUUAGGUUUACGCUGCGGAAUCAACGUCGUAGUUUAAGCUUACGAUUUUGCUAAAAUUCGUAAUUAUAAUAAACAGCAUGCUAUAAUAGUGAUUUAGACGAGUCAUCAAUACGUCUUGACUUUCUUAUAAGUUAUUUUUCUUAUAAGUUUUAAAUAGAAGAAUACUGUAUAAGAAAUGAUAUUAUAGGCCGACAGAAUACUUAAUGAUGUUUAAGCACACUUCACCUACCUAUAGCUUUACUCACAAACCGAUUGGUCAAUUUACCAAUAUAUAAUUGCUUUAACUCCUUACACCAACUUCUUUUUACCAACGUUGAAUUGUACUAACAACUUUAUGAUAUCACGUAACCGAGUUUUAUUAAUAUUACCGACACUAUUGCAAGUAGGCGGUGAAGUAUCACGAUAGCAAUAUGGACGUUGAAUCCAUAAAUUACCAUAACAUUGUAACAUAGUAACUAACUUAUACUAUACGGUGGUGAAUGUUAAAAGGUCUAAAAAAUAUUUUUUUCUAAUUAUAUCACAAAAACGUACUUAUUUUUCGAUUAAUAUACAGAGAGAGAACUCUUUUUUUAAACUAUGUUUAAGGUGGAAUAUUUGAAAAGAUAGAUGAGCUAUAGAAAAAUAAUUUACAAUGAUAUUAUGUGAAUGAAGCCAAUGCAUAGAGAAUAAUUAUGUAGACUGAUUAUGUGGUUAGUAAACAAAUAUAUAUUCGGAGUAUUUAAAAUAUUAACGUUCCGGUCAUGGAAGACCCAUACGGCCUAAAGAAAAAACGUUGUAGAUACAAGGAAAAGAUGGACAAAGCGUUGCAAAUAUUGUCACGCAUAAGAGAAACGAGAAAGGGGAUUAAAAACUUAUUAUGGGUCUAGUUGUUUUGGGAGUUUUCUCGUCGAUGAAGACUGUUAUUCUUAGAGUAUCAGAGUAAAAUUAUCGACUGAACCUCGUUAGAGUUUCUUAAGAAAAUGAAAAAUUAAUAUUUUAAUUAUUCAAUAACAAUUUGACUUUUCCUAAAUAACUAAAUCAAUAAACAAAGAGAACUUUUGAACUUAUGAUUGGAGAUGCUCUUAUGACAAGGGAAACGACAAUGACUUGACAUGGCGACAAAGAAUAUCAGAAGGAGAAGUUCGGUUGAGAAGGUUCGACGGUGAAAACGACAGCAUCUCGAUGACGAUGACAUCGUUGAAAGAAGAAAUGGCGAAUUUAUUUUAAGGGUUAAGUUACCUGUUAACUGAGAACCAAGUCCAUUUCAUUUAUCAAUCCCGCCUAUCCGACAGAAGCAGAACCAAAAUUCCUAAACCUCGGUUUGGUUCAAUAUUUUUUGUUAUGGAUAUCUGUUUCAUUUGUGCUCCAGCAUAUCUUAGCUUUCCCAGAAAGUAAAAGCCCAGAUAAGGCCCACUACUAAGACCUAUAUCGGUUUAUGUUUCGUUUCCCUACAUGAUGUACAUUUAGAUCUAUUACUCUAUUUUAUAUUAUACUACUAAUUAUAAGAUAAAUGCAUAUAAUUGUUUUAUGAGAUUUAUAAUCUUGUGGCAUUGUCUUUUUAUGCAAGGAAAAUCAUUAAAUAUGCUCAACGUUUCUAUUUUUCUACCCCAAGAGGAGAGGAUCCAUUUUAAUCGAAGCGAAAACUAUAGAAGAAAUGUGUUGAUCUAUCACAUCAAAUGUUUCCUCUUGGUCUUUUUGUUAAGUGGAUUUGGUCGCAUGCGUAGUGGCACGGGGUUGAUGACUUGAGAUAAUUGUCGAAUUAUGUAAAAUGAAUUAAGUUUGGUAAAGAAAAUGCAGUACGUUCAAUACACCGAACUAAAAUUCUAAAAAUCUUGUAUUCAUGGCGUUAGAUUAGUUAGAUUCGAAAUUAUGCUGAAAAUAGAAAAUUUAGGUUUUAGGAGGUAUAAUCGGAAACUAAUCUUAUCAAAUGAGCGUUUCAAAGAAAAAUCAGUUAUCAAAAGAGAUUAUAAGCAUAAAGUUUAAAAUUUCGUUUAUAUAUUUGAUAUUAUAUGGUAUAUGUAACUCUUAUAUCGCCUAGUGGUAAAGAACUCACAGUUGUGAGCACCGCACUGGGUUCGAUUCUCUUUGAUCACCCGGAACGUUUUAAGCAGUAAAAAAACGCGGAUCAUGCGGACCUCAUGGUGAUUAGUCUUUGAACGUAGAAAGCUUUUGGAAUUAUGUCACGGUUAUAAAAAAAACAUGUCACUUCUUUUUCUUCUUGUUAAAAUACAUUUUUAUUGGUUAAUCGUUUGAUACUUUAACAAGAUCCAAAUUAAGUCUGAAUUGAUAAUUAAUUUUUUCACGUAAAGUUUUAUGAACUUUCAAAUAUAAAAUUGAUUGACAAUAUGUAAUAAGUGGAUUAACUCAAUUUUUUCAUAUAUUGGUAUUAAUUUCUUUAAACUCUAAUGUAAGAUCUUAAUAUGCCCAUUCACAACCAAUAAUCAACCAUUUUUGAACCAUUCUAUUCGAAUCAACAAACGAGAUUCUGAUUAAAAAAAUUUAAAAUCAGUUAACAAUAAAGGGAUUAGUUCAAACCUUUUAUACAUUAGUAUUGGCUAAAUUAAACUUUCAAUGUGGGAUCAUAACACUUCACAUUUCGUUAUAGCUGUCUUUAAGAAUAUGCUUUUGUAUAUACGACAUUUACAAACUGAAAAUACGCGCCUACUACUGUAAAGUGAACACCCUACUGGUACGGGACACCUGAGGUGUCUCAGUCAGUAAAGUAGGGACAUUCAAUGCUGCUUCAUAUUCAAUCUAUUUCUUUAUUUAAAAGUGGUAUACUAUUAGUUGAUAAAAAAAAAGUGGUAUACUAGUCUAUUCGAAAUUAUUUUGAGGUUGUAAUGAUAACACUAACACAGUAACACUUUCCAUAAAAUUCAUAACUCGAUUCAGCUUUUCCUGAGGUGUUCAUUACUUUCUCGCAUGAGAUGCUUUUAAGUUUAUGUAAUCUAUAUGUAAAAGCUAUAUGAAUAUUUCCUAAUUAAUCAUUUCACAUUUGUGCUGAUUUUUUUUUUUUUUUUUCUGAUAACCGAAUGUCCUGGUCCCACCAAUGUGGUCCAGACUAGAGACUAAAACGACCAAAGAUCUAGCUUGCGCUGGUCAGUGACCGGAAUUCGAAUCCGGGUGGCAGAACUCAUAUCCGUGAAAUUUGAUAAAAAUAAAUUUUAAACUGCAAUUAACAAUACAUAAACUUAGAAAAUCCAAAUAUCUGGACUAUGAGAAAUCAAUAAAAUAGUCUGUGUUAUUGUUAUCCAUGCGUCAUCAUCCAAAUUCGAACAUUCAUAAAUAUUAUUGUCAAAAUAUCCAACAUGUAGACUAAUCAUAUUGAAGAGAUAAAAAUUAUAAUUACAAUAAGAAAGUGGUUUCUUUGGUUUGUUUCAUUUUCAUAUAAUUUUGAACUUAAUAUCCACACACACCAGAAAGGAAUAAUGAAAAAGGAAAUGAGUGAUUACAUCCUAACCUUUCAUCCACAACUAUUGGAAGAUAAAUCUACAAUAUCCUAUUUGAGAGCAAGUAACUCUUGGGUUAGUGGUGAGUUCUCCAAAGCUUGCGUGUUCUUUGACCCCUUAGUCCACUUUCAGUUCGAGUAUUAAACAUUGAUAAGCAGCCCAAUCUGUUUUAGAAAAUAAUGUAAUCGUAUAUUUGUACAUGAUAUGUUAAUCGUGGACUCACUCUAAGACCACUUGAUCGGAUUAAACUAUGUCUGAUCAAAUUCAAAGGACUCCCAACGUGUCCAACCAAUUCUGCUAAUGAACUUAACCCACUAAGCAUUUUUGCCAAAUAUUGAUUAACCAAAACGAAAUAUAGUUGAGUCUCAAGUCCCAGAGAGGGCACAUAAGCAUAUAUAAGCUUAUGCCAAAGAUAAAAUAAAAUAAAAUAAAAGAGGAACCUUAAAGAACCUUCAUAAACAAUCAAAAGCUUCAUUAUCUACACCUAUUCAUAUUAUCAUUAUAGCCCAUAUAAUCUUCCCAAAUAUAAAUUCUGAUAAAAUAAAUUACAUAAAUUCACUUUUUGUUCUUAAUCCAUCAAGCUUCAAAUCCUAUGAGUUUGAAGCUGUAACAGCCUUGAAUAAGCUCCCUCUGGUCGGCUUACAAGCUCAGAAUGCCUGCCUUGCUCCACAAUCCUCCCAUCUUGAAUCACACCAAUGCAAUCAACACCUCUUAUGGUUGACAACCUGUGAGCAACCACCACCGUAGUCCUACCUCUCAUGAGCCUCUCUAAAGCUUCCUGAAGCACACAUUCAGACUCAGCAUCUAACGCGCUUGUUGCUUCGUCAAGAAGCAACACACUAGGGUUCUUGAGCACUGCUCUUGCUAUAGCGAUCCUCUGCUUCUGCCCACCUGAUAACUGCACUCCUCUCUCACCCACUGGAGUCUUGUAGCCUUCAGGCAAACCACUGAUGAAACCAUGAGCGUUUGCAGCUCUAGCCGCCUCGAUAACCUCGGACUCAGUCGCACCAUCUUUACCAUAUGCGAUGUUGUCGAAGAUGGUAGCUGCAAAGAGAGCUGGUUCUUGUUGAACAAGACCUAUCUUCAGCCUCAGAGACUUUAGGUUUAGCCUGCGGAUGUCUUUACCAUCAAUCAUAACUUUACCAGCAAGCGGGUCGUAGAACCGUUCGAUCAUCGCUAUCACAGAGCUUUUCCCUGAGCCACUCGCCCCGACAAGAGCUUGGCUAUGUCCAGCUCGUAUCCUAAGGUUAAAGUCUGUGAACACCAUUACAUCCGGUCUUGAAGGGUACGCAAAAUCCACAUGUCUAAACUCAAUGUCUCCACGUAUUGUCUCGGCCGGAUCAGCAUCAGCAUCGUCCGGAUCAAUCCUUGUCUGCCUAUCCAACACCGAAAAAACCGAACCAACGGCCUCACCUCCCCGGAUGAUCUCAGGAGCAAGACUUACAGUUUCAGCAACAGAGUUUGCUGUAAUGACCAAAACCACAAAGACUUUGAUCACUUUGGAGAAGGUUGACUUGCCUUGGCUCACAAGGUGGGCACCGUACCAGAGGAUUACAGCCUCGGAUCCAUAGAGAGCAAGCUGGGAGAGGCCAAAGAGUAGACCUGAGGUUUGACUUCUGUAGAAGCUUCUUUUCUGAGGGACACGGAGCUCGUGGCUGAACAAGGAGAGGAUCUUGCUUUGUGCAUUGAAAGCUGCUACGGUUCUAAUGUUGCUGACUCCUUCACCAGCAAUCAUUGAUGUCUUUGCAUGAGCCUUGGCUGUGUCUCCAGCAAAACCCUUCAGAGAUAGUUGCUGCAAUAUAGAUACUUACUCAUCAGAACAAUUAAAGAUGUUAAACAAUGUUCAAGAAAUCGAUAGACAAUAAUUACGUGUUUUAUAGAGGAUUAUUGAUUAGGCGGAUACCUAUACCAAUUUUUUAGCAUCUAAACUGAUUUUUUUUUUAAUUAUUCAAGGAAAACUCAAUUUACCUAGACGCCUACUAAACCAAUUUUUAGAACACUGAUGUUAAAUAUUGGUUAACUUAACUAGAUUAGAACAUGAUGAAGAACCAUUCAGUUAAUCACACAUGCAAAACGUCAACACCAUCAAUUAUAGUGCAAGUACAUUGUAUCUCUAGGUCCUUGCGUGUGAAAUCUAUUGAUAGAUUUUCAUUAGAUAACGGGUGAAGAAUCUUAUUGACAUUUUGAAAAAAUGUUGGUGAUAUCUUAAGCAAAGUUCUGAAGCUUGCAGCUAGUAAAAACAAAAACUUGUCACAACCUAAUGUACCAAGCAAAGAAACACAAGAAAACAUGGACCAUUGGUUGAUUGUUUAACACUGACACUCUGACACACACACACAACUUGGAUGAGUAAAUAAAAAACGGAGACAAGAAAUUUGACCAAUGAAGAAAACAACAAUGGUUUUUUUGAAUAAAUCACUGCUCUUCUUACACAAUGCCUAGUAAUAAUUGGUUCUUGGUGUGAAAAGAAAGGUGGCAGGGUUUUUGGAUUUAUGUGAAUAUGAGAAAUGGGUUUAUAGGAAAUAUAAUUAAAAUAUAAAAGGGUGUGAUCAGAAUUCAGAGUGCAGAGAUAGAGAGAUUUAGGCCUGGCAAUAAAAUCCGGAACCUGAAAUCCGAACCCGAACCAAAAAACCCGAUCUGUUAUCCGAUCUGAAACGUAAAAAUACUCGAACGGGUUUUGUAGGGUGGUACAAAAAAUAUCCGAACCCGAAGUGUUAUUAACCGAAUCCGAACGGGUAACCCAAAAAAUCCGAAAUUAAUAGUCAAUAUAAAUAUUUUGAAAUAUAUAUCAGUAUUCUAAAUAUUAAAUUCAAUAUUUGUUGUAAUAUUAUAUAUAAUAAUAAAUAUUAAAAUUCUAAUAAAUGCUUUAAGUACACAAUUAGUUAUAAUAAAGUAUUUUAUAAUUUGCUCAUUGAAAUAAAAAGUCUACUCUCUAUAAGGCAAUACAUAUUGUUUACAAAUGAUGUUUGUUUUCAUGUUUGAUUUAACAUUUUAUUGUUAUUUUAUCAAUUUUAUAUGUGAUAGAUUAAUUUUUAUUUAAUUUAGAUGUUUUUCUUUAUAUUUUACUUCAAAAAUUUUGUUUUUUACUUUGGUUAUAUCUGAACCGAACCGAUAUAAUCCGAAUCCGUACGAUAUAUAAUUACUUUAUGGGUUUUAUGAUGCAAUACAAUUUUGAACCGAAACCGAAGUGUUAUUAUCCGAACCCGAUCCGUACUAAUAAAAUUUUAGUAUGAGACCUAGAAGCGUAAAUCUGAAAAUUCGAAAACCCAAAAAAUCUGAUCCGAAUGCCAACGAAUACCCGAACGACCUAGAGAGAUUUAUGAAAGCUUAAAGUAGGAAAGAUAUAGUAGAUGUAAAGUAAGAAGGUAGAUACAUAAAAAGACAGAUGAAUCUUAGCUAUUUUCAUGAACACUGCUAUCUAUGUGCCGUACUACCAAUAGAAACUAUAUAAUAAAUACUCUUCACAGAUGUAAAAGUCUACUUUAUUGAUGUGAGGGCUCCAUCAUCUUGACCCUCACAGUCACACUAUUCUAAAUAAAAGAGAAAAAAAAAGACUGAAUAAUUCUUUUAUGAUUAUUAUUGGAAAAGGAAAUGCAAUUGCAGAAGGCAGUGAAUGUGUUGACAUGUUCUAUAAAGUUUUGAACUUUUGCAUAUAAAAUAAACAAUAGUUUAGAAAACAUAAAAGUUAGUUACUCUUUUACUGCCUUUAACUUAAUCAAGUUUUGAAGUGCAGACUCAAUAGAUCAUAACCCUUAAAGAUUGUUUUAAUGUGCAUAUAGUUGCAAAACAAAGAAUUGAGAAUUUUGUUACCUGAGCAAAGUUAGCAAGGACUAGAAGUGGGAAUGUGCAUAAGAUGAGAAGUGAGACUCUCCACUCAAUGAUGAAAGCAACUAUGAAAGACGUGAGAAGUGAAGUCAUGUUCUGCAGAAUCACUGAGAUUCUCUCUGCUAUAGCAGAUUUAACAUCAGCUGCAUCAGUGGCUAACCUUGCAGCAAUCAAGCUAGAGUUGUGUUCAUCCUCAUCAAACCAACCAACUUCAUUCCUCAAGAUUGCUAAUAAAAAAAACAAACAAAAAAAAUCAAAAAUGGAACUAUAAAAAAAUAUUUCAAGAUUUUGAUACAUUACCUGAGAGCAUCAUUCUUCUUACUCUUGUUGUGAGAUUCUCCCCCAUGAUGCUAAAGAAGUAAUGCUGGAUCAAAUAAGCUAUCACAGCAUAGAUACCAGCACCAAUGUAGAUGAACACAUACUCUUUUGUCUUCCUCUCCAUUGAAACAUAGUCAGUGUAGUAGAACACUUCAAUCAUAUUACUCAUCACAAUAGCAAACGUUGGACCGAUAAAACCAGACAGAACCGAGCCAACAGCUCCCAUGAUUGAGUAAGGCCAUUCAGGUGCAUUAAGCUUGAGAAGCCUAUAAAAGUAGUUUUGAGGGGGACGAGUCUUUCUAUCACUCUCUGCGUUUGAUAUCAUCUCUAUCCGACCAUCAGCUCCAGUGCUGUAAGAGUAGCUCAAGUUCCUCAAACUCCCUGACCUUAAGCUCAGUGACUUGGUCGACAAGGAAUGGCUCAAACGUGUAGAACGAGUGCGACGUGUUGACGGGUUAGAGAAGUCACGAGUACCAACCAUCUCUUGAAACCUGAUGAGCGAUGCGUAAGGACCAGACUUAGCUAUGAGCUCUUCGUGUGUUCCGGUCUCAACAACUUGUCCUUGCUGUAUCACCGCGAUGGAGUCAACGUUACGUAUGGUGCAGAGGCGAUGAGCGACGACCACUGUGGUUCUCCCGACCAUGACUCUGUCUAAAGCCUCUUGAACUAUGCUCUCAGAGCUAGCGUCAAGAGCGCUCGUUGCUUCGUCUAGUAACAGAAUCUUGGGGUCUUUUAGCAUCGCCCUAGCGAUUGCGAUUCUUUGCUUCUGUCCACCUGACAGUUGAACACCACGCUCUCCAACCUGUGUGUCGUAGCCUUUAGGAAGCAACGUGAUGAAGCUAUGCGCGUUGGCAGCGGACGCAGCAGCUUCAACUUCGUCUAGUGUUGCAUUAGGUUUCCCGUAGAGUAUGUUCUCAAGUAUGGUUGUGGCGAAGAGAGCAGGUUCUUGAUUCACAAGACCGAUCUGUUCACGCAAGAACUUCAACUGAAGCGUCUUUAUCUCAACACCAUCCAACAGAAUCUUCCCUGCUCAUUAAAAAAAAGUUAUCAAGAUCCAUACACUAGGCAAAAACCUAGAUAAAAAGAGUUACUUGUUACUCAAGUUACCGUUGUUUGGGUCGUAGAACCUCUCUAUAAGGGACACAACAGUACUCUUCCCAGAGCCACUACCACCAACCACAGCCACGGUCUUCCCAGAAGGGAAGAAGAUAGAGAAGUUUCUGAAGAUGAUAACAUCAGGACGUGAAGGAUAGCUAAACGUCACAUCUUUAAACUCAAUGUUUCCAUGAACUUGCUCCAAGCAUUUCCCAUCCAACGGGUCUUGUACUAUAGUUGGUCUCUGGUUAAUUAUCUCCAUUAGCUUGUAACCAGCAGAUUUGCCUUUACUAAACGCUCCAAGAUUUGAGAAAGAUUGUCCCAAACUCCUAAAAACAACAUAGUCACAUGUUAAAGUCUAUAACAUAAAAACAUCAGUUUGAUGUUCUGUUUUCUUACAUUCCACCAACAAUGGCUGAGAAGAUAGCAGUGAAUGCUUUUCCUCCAUCUGUUGUUCCGCUCCUGAUGAAAACACCAGCGUACCAGAACACCAAGGCCCAUGACAUGCAAGCUAUUCCAUAAGUACAUCCUAAACCUAAUCCUUUAGCCAUCCCAGCUUUAUAACCAAGCUUAAGAGUGUACUGAAUCGCCUCUGAGUACGAGCUAAGAGCCUUGCUCUCUCCAACAUAUGAGUAAACAGUUCGAACCUGAGCAAUUGCCUGUAAAUUCACAAAAAAUAAAUAAAAAAAUUUUAUUCAAAUUAUAGCACACAAGAUUUUUUUUUAAAAUAUCCUAUGAUAGCACUAAAACACCUUUUUAGGUAUUUUAUAUUUAAAUUUGAUUUUAGCGACUAAUUAGGUUUUAAUAUAUAGAAAAUGAGGUUAGUGUAAAGAUUUAUGGUUCAGAGUAAUUUAGUCAUUCUACCUCUUAGAUUGUGCUAUUUUAGAGAUUUUUCUCUUUGUGUUAUUUUUGUUAUCGAACUUUUUUUGUGCAUACCUAAAAGAUUUAAGUUAAAGGUUAAUUAUUACAUGAAACCACUGUUUAAGUCCUUGUUGGAUUGAAAGACAAGGAAGAGAGACAUAAUCAUUAGAGGGAUCAAGUACAACGAGCAAGCCUAAGAACAGUGUAAAGCAUAUUAUAAAGAAAAGAUCUUUUUCACCUGCUCGGCUAUAACACCGGCGUUUGCGUAAGACUCACGGCUCUUGGAAGUGAUGCCGGUGAGAGUGUAAGCGUAUAAACCGCCUGCGAAUGCGAUUCCGGGAAUCACCGCCACACUCAACAAAGCUAGCCUCCAUGCUGACACAAACCCAACCACAAGCCCCGCCAAAAACGUUGACAAGUAAUGUAUGAAGUUCCCAACCUGCGGAAAAAAUAGAAUGAUAGUAUCAAGCGCACGUUAACUCAGUUUUGCUAUCGUGCACCCGCCCGAGGUGCACGAUAACUGACUGUUUGCUAACGUAAACGGGACACAGAUUUUGUACUUGGUUACCUUCUCGCUGAUGGCGUCUUGGACAAGAAGAGUAUCGGUAGAGACACUGAAGACAAUGUCGCCAGUUCUUGCAUCGGUGUCGAAGAAUCCAACGUCUUGUUUCAAGACAGCUUCAAGAUACUUCUUCCUUAACGCAGCUACUUGUCUUUCUCCAGAGUACAUCCAACAUGCAAUCUCUGUAUUUCAUAAUAAUAUUAUUAUUUUUUCAAAGCGUUAUAAAUGUGAAAGAGAUUUCAUUUUGAUGACGGCAUAAUCGAUACAGACAAAGGAUGAGUCCAUGACUCAAGUAGUCACGUGGUCUCGGCUUACCCUCCACUUUUUACAAUUACACACUAAAUCUAAAUUAGCUAAGAUAUAAAUAUUUUUACCCUUUGAUAAAACGUUUUACCAGUCAUUUUCUUGCUUGAACACUAUUUUUGACAAAAACUUAAAAAGAAUUAUUUUAUUGAAUUUUUCUAGAACAUUUUAAACUCAAUUCAUAUAUAUAUAUAUAUAUAUAUAUUUUUUUUUUACUAUAAAAAAUUAUAAUCAUAUAUAUAUAUAUAUAUAUAUUUUUUUUUUACUAUAAAAAAUUAUAGAGAAGUAUUUUGAUCCAUAGUAUGUUUUUAUUAAAACAGUGAUAUUUUAUAUUAUUAAAUAAUUUCUGUCUCGGUUUAGGAUCUCUUCUUAACCUAAUUAUAUAUUUUCCCUUUACAUAAAAUAAUUAAGCUCUAUUAUAGAAACAUAUAUUAAAGCAAAAUUCAUUUAUGUAAUAAAAAUUCUAUUUAAAAUUGCAAAUAUAUAAAUGGAUUAGAGGUAUUGGUAAAAAAAAAUGGAUUAGAGGUACUGAUUAUAAAUUUUGGAUUUUAAAUUUGAGGCAAACCUGCGUACGAAGAGACGCAGACAACCAAACCCAAGUAGACAAAGUACAGAGCAUACUGCAAAUUUUAAGACAUAACACAACAGAUCAGAUCUUGAAUAUAUAUUUUAAUUAAAAUAAAAUUAAACGAGAGAAAUGAGAUGAUUUGAUUUUUUACUUUGGAGACUUCAUGUGUCAUUUGGUGUAAAUCCAUCUGGUUCUUGCCGAAUCCAUUAACCAUUUCACCGAAAAGCAAGAAGAAGACAGGCAUGGAGGAGCCGUGAAUAAUGGCGCCUAUAGAGCCAGUGAUCAUUAACAGAUGAUCAAAUUUAUCAGCGAAUGAGAAGAGUUUGAAGAACGGUAAGCUCUGUUCUUUCUUUUUCUCGGCUUCAGCCGGAGGAACCGGCUUUGCAUCUGCCGUUGUCUCUGACAUUUUUGUUGAGUGAGAUUAAGGAAGGAGAAGCGAGUCAGACACGAGUUGGCUCAGAGAGAGGAAGAGAUCAUUGGCAAUGGAGGAGAGAUCCAGAGCAGAAAGAUAAAGAAAAUAAAUAAUAACGUUUUGUAUUUUAAAAAAACUGACAAUUGAUUUGUGAGUUCGAGAACUCUUUAUGAGUGUUUUGUUUGGGAGUGACGAAAUAAAAGAAAGAAAUGGAGAGAGAAUGAGAGUGUGGAGAAGGUGUGAUGUGUGUAUAUAAUGGAGAGAGAGAGAGAGAGAGAGCCAGUGUUAAAGAAGACCAGUGGUCAAAGACGAUAUAAACAUUAAGAGAUGAGAUUUGAUCCAAAAAAAAAUUUGAUCAAAAAAAAAAACAUUAAGAGAUGAGAUAGAGAGAUAUUCGUAUGUGCUCGUGGACUGGGAACUGUAGUUUUGCUGUAAUUAAUGUGGAGACUAAGGAAAAGAAACUGCAAGUUGAAAAUAAGAAGGUCAUUUGAUGUUAAUUACUGAGAAAUACUCUCUUUGUAUGACUUUAAAGAAAAAAAAAUUGUUUAGAAAUAGCGGAUGUUCUCACUAUUUUAGAUAGAAUUUAAUAGCAUUUGAAUUUUGUGACCAAUUACAAAAUACUGUUUUUUUUUCUUAUUGAUUAAAUUAGUUUCAUUUAUUAACAUCUUUAUGUAAACAAUGUAAAUUGUAUAAAACUUGGAUUUUCUUAAGGGACAAUGUGUUGAAUAUACCCAAUUAAGGUCCAAAUUAGCUGAAUGCCCAUGAUUAUGGAUAACCCAAAAAGGAGUAACCUUUUGACACUGUGCGGACGAAAAUGCCCUCAUGCUUUAUCGAAAACAUGUAACUCCAGAUCUAUCAGCUAAAUAUUUACAUAGCAGGUAACAAUCUACAUAUCAGCUAAUAAUUUCAGUAUCAUCUAACAAUCUAUGUAUCAAACAAAUGUAUCGGCUAACAAAUAAUAUAUCAGUUAAUGAAACUAUUAACAAUUAAUUAGUUAUCUAUCAAAUAGCCCCAAAUCUAUUUGUAACAGCUAACACUCCAUGUAUCGAUUAAGAAUCCAUUAAAAUCUAAAUAAUAGCAGGUAAGUAAUAAAAUACCUACUAACGUAUAUAUUAUCUAAAUAAAAGAAUGUAGAUUUCAAGCUUUCUUCUUCCCGAGAUCUUCCGAUAUCAAGCUUUCUUCUUCCCAAGAUCUUCCGAUCCUUUCUCCAUGAAUCCGCAACAGAGAUAACAGAUUAUUCGAUAAUCGCACAGAGAAUCGUCGAAUUUCCACAAUCUUCAAGAGUACUACAACACAUACAUUUUGCGAUUGAAAGCUUAUAAAAGUUGAUUGUGAUUCGAAAUUGGAAACAUUGGAAUUGGGGUGAGAUAAUAAGAUUAGCAUUAUGGGUGUCAAAAGAAUCAGAAUAAAAAAAAUAAAGAUUUGUGUUGAAUUAGAAGAUGAUUUGAAGAACAUGUAUGAGAGAUAAAGAGAUUAGAACACAGAAAAUGGAGAAGAGAGAGAUCUAGAGAUAAGGGUAUUAUAGUCAUAAAAAAUAUUAAAAAGAAACAAGAGUAUAUGGCAAAUUAUAUAGAUUUUUGGGUGUGUCCACACCAAUUUCUCUUUUCUUAAUUCAUGUGCAAAAACUUUAAAAACCACUUAUAUUGAUAUAUUGUGAGUAAUGAAUUAAUGUGUUUUUGGGAGUACUAUAAUUUGUCGUUUCAUAAAUUAAUGAUGUAUUCAAAUUAAUAGUUUUGUGAACAAAUCCAUAUUUUGUUUUUUUUUUAACAAAUUCAUAUUUGGUGUAAUUCAAUUAGUGGUUUUGAAAUACAUGUUAUAGAAAUUUCUAUAACAAAUUUGAAAGUACAGCUCUGGUCAAAAUAUAAAGACACAAAGUGUUAGUUGACAUUAAUGUUAAAAUCUAGCAUAUUUAGGUGUAUAAUCCAAUAAAAAUUGUGAUAAACUAAUUUUGUUUUUAACUAAUGAGAACUUGACAUAGCGCUCAAAAUUCUUAGAUUAUCUUAGUAUUUUUUUUAACUAAUGAGAAUUUGAAAUAGCGGUCAAAACUCUUAGAUUAUCUUAGUAUUAAUGUCUUUUUUUUUACAACAAAUCUUAGUAUUAAUGUCUAAGGGGUAAAAUGUUCAAGUAAGUCUCAUUGCGAGAGAUUUUUUUUUUCAAAAAAGAAUGAAUUUAAAAUAGUUAAGAUCUCAAUUUAUAGAAGUACAGACCUACUAUCCCAAAACCUCUCUUAGUCAUUAAGAACAUGAAUUUUUGUAUAAAAAGAUUUUUCAUUAGUUUGGUUUUGUAGUUUUAUCUUUUAGUUACAAAAAACCCACCAAAGUUAAUCUGGUUGUAUAUCCUUUAGUUAUUAUAAAUUUUAUAAUUUGUAUAAAAUUAUGUAUUUCUUCUAAAAACGAUGUCAUUUUGAUUUUGAAUGAAUGUUAAAACAUUAUAUUAUAAAAUUGUGAUUUAUCAGAUUAACAGAAAUCUGUUGAAAGAAAAAUGGAAGCAAGGUUUAGAGAAUUAACUCGAAGGAAACAAAAUUAUAAGACAAAAGCUUUGUACUUGAAAAAAUGAUUAAAAUAGUUGAAGGAGGAGAACGGGUGAAACACCUGAAAAACAAAGAAGUAUAUGAAGAAAGAAAAACGGGUGAUAUUUGGUUUUUUCCAAAGGCCACUAAUCUCACUCUGUUACCAUUUAACCUAGUAAAUUUAACAAAGACGAGAAGGAUCUUAUGAGCCAACAGACUGGAAGAAAAUUCCGAAACUAAUAAUUUAUAUUUGAUUCAGAAAUUUGUAAUCCAUAAAUUAAAGUUUGUUUCAUGGACUUAUCAUUUCAUUUGUUUUUAGUAUGCCAUGAGUAUGAUUCAGAACAAAACCAAACUUAGUAUUGCUGAGAGAUCAAAUUUUGUGAUGCUAAGACUAAGAGCUCCAUUUUAGUUCUUAUACAUGUAUGGGUGUCCUAUAUAGCCUAAAAACAUGAUCACGCUCUAUUUGAUUGAUGGAGAUAAAUUUCAACUAUUGAAAAUCAAUGUGUCAUCUAAACAUUUAACAAUUACAGGACAUAAACAAAAUGAUUCAAAUAUAUCUGCUUCUUUCUUGCUUGUAUGGGACUGGCAUAGUUUAUAUAUUUCCAAAUGUCAUUUUUAUUGUUAUAAAAAUCUUAAGUAUAAGUUUUAUCUUCUUUAAAAAAAAGUAAGUUUUAUCGACAGCAUUAUCCAUGGACUGAGAUACAUAAUGUUAUUUUAAUCCUAAACAUUGAUAAUUACUUUGUGAAGAGUGAGUUUUAUUGUACCUCUUUUCAUCAGUUUCUUACUUUGUUCCUGAUUUUUCUUUGUUAUGAAUAAACAUCAUAGUACAAGUAAAUUUAACAUUUUAGUAACAAAAAAUAAUAAUAAUCAUAAAACAAGUACUCAGACCUAUUAGAGCAUGUCUAUCCCUAAGAACCCCGUAUAGAUGAUCUCAACCUCUAAAUAUUGAUAUUAAUCUAAUCUGUUUGUUUAGUUAAAUUUUACUAGUUAGAGCAAAUAAACCAAUCAUAUAUGGACCAAUGGUACCUGAUGUUUUCAUGACUAUUUCACCCUAUCUCAAAUAAGAACCCCAAUUCAUUUUUUUUCCUAAUUUUCUUAUAUUUCUUUUAUUUUAUUGAUGAGGUAUUGUUUGAGAAAUUCGCAAUGAAGUUGGUCUUUGAUAGUGAAAAUAGGAAAAUACUGAUACUGAUAGGCCAAAUGCCAACGACAACAGAAGAAUAAAUAAAUGUAUAAAAUAGUAAAUAUGUGGAUUCGGUCGUUAGUGCACCCCUUUCCUCGAGCAAAGCAUCUAAUUUAUGCUAUAGUAUAUCAAAUUAAUAUUCCUAUAAUUAUUGUUUAACAUAAGAUUCAAAGAUUGGGUUGAGGCCAAAAUCGGGGCAUGUGAGUGUUAAAUAAGAUAUGGUCUAUGGUUUACUGCUACUAUGAUUCCUUUUUUCUAACUUGAUCCAUUGAUGGAAAGUUCUUUUAUGCUUUAUAACACUUAUUUUCCAACAUAAUGAAGAUAUCGUGGUGUAUUUUAACGAAAUGUCUUUUAUUCUUUUUGAGGAAGCAUCGAUGUUUGGUAGGGGACACAACAUAAAAUAACAACAAACAACCCUCAAACAAGUUUCACUGAUUUUGAAUCGUUGAUUGUCACUAGAUAUUGACAUUGUAUCUAAAGGUUGAUUGAUUGAUUGACAUAAACAAAGAUCAUGUUGACCAUGCUUGCUUAUGUCGAAUUAAAAUUCGUGUGGAAUAAGUGAAUAACUUUUAGAAAUGUAUUUGACAUAGUGACCGUUUUUCACUAAAUAAAUUAAUAUCAAGAGAUCUAGGUCUUGUAUCAUAUAUAAAAUAUAUUUAAUCGUCUUGUACAAAAAAGGACAUGGUUAAAUUUUAAUGGAUUAUUUUUGUUGUUUGCCGAACUUAAUGAACCCUUUUUAAAGGAAAUAAAGAAAAGAAUGUAUAACGGACGGCUGGUUUGAUGAUCUUUGUGAGAUUUCGCUUUAUUAUAGGCACAACUUUAUUAGUUGUAAAAGGUACUUAAAACUCAGCAAAAGAAACUUUCGACUGUAUACAGUGCUUAUAGGUAAUAGAUAAACCUAUUUACAGAUUGAUAAUCACCACAUUCCAUAAAUAAAUCUGAUUAUAAUGGAAGUGAGUACAUGAAUUAUAAUUAUAUAAUUUGAUUCAACCGAUAGCUCAUAUAACAUGUUUGAGAAUUAUUAUUGUUUGCCUUUAAAUGGGUAUUGUAGGGUCCAACGUUAAUGACUUUUCCUUUGAUACAAUUAUAAUUAAUUAGUUUGUCUUGGUGCCAUUGUCACCUUUGAAUCAUACUCUUUAUAAUAUCCCAUUUUUCCUAUAAAAAAAUCUCAAUCUAAUAUUUUCAUUAUACAGAGAAAGAUCUCUUAUCUUAUGCUUUAUUUUGUUCGGCAACAUCCGUGAUAUUAGGACCUACGACCCUAAUUUAUUUUUCUAACAUGGUCAUGUGCUAAUUAUACUUUCUUAAUUAAUAAUUAUACUUUCUUAAUUAACAAAUAACCAAAAGUGAGUUUUCAUAAAACGUGAUUUUAAGUUUGUUAACAAGAAAUAAUUCAACUGGUUUUGCUUUUCUGUUUGAAAUGGGUAAACUCAUUUUGCUUAAUAUGAUAAAAUGUACAAUUGCCGUUUUCAUAGAUUCCCUACCAUAUAACCAGAUGGCCAUCUACAUCAAUUUCGCCUUCUUCCUUUUUUGGAUUCGGGUAUAUAGACAUGUUGGCUAAUGUCUAAUGAUGAUCAAAGAUAAUACCAAACUUGAAGUUUUGGUCGUCGUUGUCAUGUAACAUUGAAAUGCUACCGACGAUGUGUCUGGAGUCUGGACUAGUGAUGUAACGUAAUGAAUUGGAUCUAUUGUAUUCCUAAUUUGAUUUAUGUUGGGAGGGGUGAUUUACAUCAUAUCAUCAGAUAUUAACAGCGGGUGGUUUCAGACAUAUAAGAAGAUUAGGGCCUAACCAAACUUUUCCCUGCUAACAAAAAACGUCAAAUGAUAUUAGAUAAGAGGCAUAACGUAUAUAUAUAUAUAUACAAUGAAUAUUUGAGAACUAUAUAUUUGAUACCAAAAUAUAUAGAUAAAGAGGCAUAACAUAGAUAUAUGGUGUUAAAAAAAAAACUUAGAUAUAUAAAUAUAUAUACAAUGAAUAUUUGUGAACUAUAUAUUUGAUACCAAAAUAUAUAUAGUUUUUUUUGUUAAAGGGGGGGACGACGAUUUGUGACAACUAUGAACUGUAGUUUACUCACGGAAUUGAUAGUUAACGUGAAAACUAUGGAUAAGCAACGUACAAACUGUAGAAGAGUAUCAUAAGUUUGUUUAUCAAAUGCAAGUUUACAGUGGCUUGAUCGCGUAAGUCCCAUAUUCGACGAUGAGUUUCACUAUUUUCGAAAGUUUGCAACAAAAAGUUUAUUGUUCUUGAAGAUUAUCAUUUCAUAAUAAGUUUUUUCACGCUUUAUCUUAGCUUGCACAUAAUAAAAACCAUAUACAUUAGAUCAAAAUUCACGGUAUUGAAAGCCCACUUUUAGUAAGAUCAUCCACACAAAAAUUAUAUAACAAUAGUAACAAAAUAAAAAGGAAAUGAUGAUAUACCCAAAUUAAAGGUAUAAUGAUACAAUGCACAGGAAAGAGAGAAGGCCUUUUAGAACAUGCAUUCCCUUUAAUCUGUUAUUAUCGCUAAUGUCCUUUGCCACGAUCCUUUACACUAAAUUUCCUCUUCUUUUCUUCAUUGACAUUGCCGUAAAGUUGACACACACCCAAAUCUCUUUUGUCAAUAAGAGAUAAAUCUUUCCGCAUUGCGAGCCGCAAAAUAAUAGUAUAUAUCUCUCUUUCCGCCGAUGUGUUAGUACUUAGUACAAGACUACAUAUAUAAAAAAAUAAAUAACCAAAAGAUGUUAGUAAGAAUAACACUGGCCAAUAUGCCAAUGGCAUUUGGCAAAAAAAAAAAAAAAAAAAAAAAAUGUCAAUGGCUUUGUUGCAAUUUGCAAGAACACAUAUACACUGUCGAACAGAAAUUACAGAAUGAACAAUAGUAAUUGGGCUAAAGGCCUAGUACAUAUUGUUCAAAAAUCAGGCCCAAGUAAAUAUGUUAUAAUACAAAGCUUUGUAUUUUUGCACUGACAAAUAUGGAACAACUUGGAGGACUCUUUGAGCAAGACAGUCAAACAAUUUCACCUCUUACUAGACACUCAAAUAUCUUCUUCGUUUAGGAACACGCUGCAAGGGAAAGUGCGUUCCAUUAACAUCCUUGAGUCGAGGCGGUAAGGUGCAAAGACUUUGUUGGAUAUGAACCCUAGCCUAUUGUUUGAAUUGAAAAUAUAUCGGCAAGACGAAUUAUAAUGGUAAACCGAAGUCAAAAUUCAUUAAAACAAAAACAAAAAUCUGGUGAAUCAAACUCAAGUCUAUGAUCGCUCUUACAAGACAUAACCCUCUCUCCCACAUCACUUCUUGUAAUGUUACUGCAAAACUCUCCAAAAAAGAAGUCAUCUAACUCUUUGGUGCAGUCUUCUCCUUAGCCUUCUGAAGCUUCAAAACCUUCUUCACAAUCUUCUGCUCUUCCACCAAGAAUGCCCUAACGAUCCUGUAGUAGGAGACAUAUUAGUUACAUUUCAAGAACUCAUGUAAUAACCUUAAUUAAAAAAAUUAGCUUACCUGUCUUUAACAGCUAGUCCAGAGAGAACACCACCGUAUGCACGGUUCACUGUCCUCCUGUUCCUCGACAACCUCGACCUCUUGUACUCAGCAGGUCUCAGAUGCGGUAUCUACACAAACAUAAAACAUCCAAAACUAAAGCCUAAACGAUUACAAGAAUGAAUCUCUCCACUAUGGCACUAUCUUACCAAUCUUAAACAAAAAAAGUUCUAACAUUCACUAAAAAUGUCUGAUUCCGACAAGUUCUUACAUCUAACCGCAAUCAUGUCUGAGUUCCGACAAAGAAUCAAAUUCGAAUUAAAAAAAAAAAAAAAUGACAAGGCAUACAUACCCCUUGGAUUCUCUUGCCAGUGACAGGGCACUUAGGUCCACUAGCUCUCUUCUUCGUCGUCUGGUAAGUCAACUUCCCACCUUCACAAACCAGAAACAAAAAAAAUAUCUCUUUAGAUCAAUCUUUACUAUUACAUCAUUAGAUCAUCGGUCGGUAACGUUACCAGGAGUUUUGACGAUGCGGUGUUGGUUGGAUUUGGUGGCGUAAGAGUGGCGUGACCGGUACACAAGCCGUUGAACCAUUUUCGCAAAGCUCUGAUGAAGUAACAGAACAAACAAUGGAAAGAGCGGCGCGAGCUUUGAUGGGGAGUUUAUAUAUCGCGGUUAAACCCUAGAUCCAACGGACGUGAGCGCUAGGCCCGAUAACGAGGCCCAUAUAUUCAAUAGCUUUAAUAAACUAACCAACCCGUACAGACCGGUCAAGUCCGGUUUGGUUAAAUGAUAUAUUACCGAUCGCAUGCAGUGUCACGUCCAUGGAUUAUAGUAAUAAAUAUGGACUGCACUCUGCAUUUGUUGUUCUCUCAUGUAAUCAACUGCAUGUGCACUCUGCAUUUGUUGUUCUCUCAUGUAAUCAACUCUGCUUAUGUUUUCUCCGUUUUUUUCCUUCUUUUAUUUAUUAAUAAUGUUUUAAAGUAGGUAUAUACGCUGGAAAAUGUGAUUGGCCAGUCCCUACAUCACAAGCACCAUCCAUACAUCACACAUGCAUUCCAUGUUAUAUAAGUCAAUCUUUAAUAAUAGCAAAUCAAAAUUUAUAUAUUUUAAGAAUUGCAUGCAUCUUAUAUUUAAUCUCCAUACUUAUUAUGAUUCAGCCAUACACUUGAAUAGAUGAUGUGUAUAUAUAUAUAUAUAUAUAUAUAUUAUCGUAAAAAUACUAAAUCUACAAAUAUAUCAUUUUAUAAAGUACAUAUCUCCCAUUUUUGUGGCCGUCGAAAUUUACGUACUAGUUUAAAAGAAAGUUGGAUCGUAUCCUACACUUCCUCCGUAUGAUAGUUCACUGAAAUGAUGAAACUGAAAUAAAAGAAGAUGUAAACAAAUACCAUUUUCAUUUCUCGAGAUUACACUUUGAGUUUUUUGUUUUGGUUUUAAUUACGUCUUCGAGUUGUUAGCAACAUAUGCAAUUUCAGUCCAAGUGAUUAAAAAAAUUACCUGCAUUAGUGCACAAAUAAAUUGACACAGCACAACAUUUGACAAAAGAGAGAAAUUAAAGUAGUCCCGUGACUCUUCUUCUUCCUUUUCCUCCGGCCUCGUGAACCCAAAUUGAUAUAUAUAUAUACAUAAAUACACAUGUACACAUAAAUAGAAAUGGUUGUAUGACUUGUGUCUAUCAAAUCCAGUAAUCCUCUUUAUCUUAUACCAAAUUUUCAUUGAAAUAGUAUCUCUGAAUCUCUUUGACCAAAAAAACAUUAUCUCUUAAAUCUUAAUCUCUUUACAAUUGGUUCCAUCUAAAAACCAAAAAUCGAGGACAAAACAUAUUAAAUCAUACUCCUUCUGUAUCAGAAUAAAUGGGUUUUAAGGUUUUUGCACAACGAUUAAAAAUUACAAAAUUUUAUUCAAUUUUUUCGUUUGUAUAAAAACAACAAUAAAUACAAAUAAUUCAACCAAUAAAAAAUCAUACUGCAAAACAAAAAUAGUCAAAAACAUAAAAUUGCAUUUAUUUUUCAUAUAAAAACUUGAAAACAUCGCUUAAAAUGAAACAAAAUUUUUAUCUUUUUUUUUUUUUUUUUGGACGAAUAAACAAAAUUUUUAUCUUAAAACACAAAUUAAAGUGAUAUGGAGUGAAUAUUGAUAUAUCUUUUCAUGUAUAUGCAUAUGCAAACAUUGUACGUAUCAGGAAGUCCCAACAUCAUGAAUGACCACGGAUCUGGGCAUAGGUCAGUAAAACAUUGGCUUUGCUCCCAAAAUUUUUUAUACAGGUAGGCGUCUAAAUUUUGAAAAAAAAAAUUAUUCAAAAAUAUUUCAAGCUCUCAAAAUUUUAGAUUCAGCCAUGUGAAUGACGUAGACCAUAAUGUAAUUUGACAAUGGCCAAAGACCCACUGGUUCAAUCCAAAACAGCAACUUUUUCCUUUUCUAUUUUCUUAACAAUAAAUAAUUCGUUUUCAUGGAGAACCGAAACAGCAAACAUGACGCGGAGAAAAUCUCGUUCGUUAAAAUACCAUCUCAACAAGUUCUAUUAUUAACAAAGCCUAUGCACUACACAUAAAUGCAAUAGGCACUAUUCAAUUCUUAAAAUUAUCGUAGCAAUAAAUCAAACACUAUAGAGGGAGAUAUCUUAUCAUAUAUCAUUAUCAUGUUAUCCUGCAUGUCCCCGUUAUUAUUGAUAUUUUAAAUAACACAACCUAAUUAUAAUAUUUUUUUAAUAUUAGGGUUUUUGAGAGGAGCAAGCCCACAUUGAAUGCCACGCGGUUUUGUGUAGAGGGUAGAGACUUUUCCGUUUGCCACACAGCUGACUUUGGAGGCUUUACGUCCACUUUUGUAGUUAAUGCUUUACACAUUUGUAUUUUACUUUAUUUUUAUUUAUUAAAUACUCGAUUUUGAGAGACCGAAGAGUCCAAGACCAAGAGGGGUCAGCAUAUAUAUAGAAGAAGAAGGUGGACAUAGACCUUUGUCGCCAAGCUUAACCAUUAGAUCCAUCCAAAGCGACUAAUAAGUGAGGCUAAGGUACUGUGACUCAUCAACAACUAAAGUUGUUUCAGUUUUCUUCUAUUUUCUUGGCAAAGAGUUGUAGUGAGAAUUUAAGAAAGGCAAGAAGAGGAAAGGAGGGAUUGUUAAUUCAUUUAUUGAUCAAGAGAGGUAUUAAAAUAAUGGUGAGGCCUCCUUGUUGUGACAAAGGAGGAGUGAAGAAAGGGCCAUGGACUCCUGAAGAAGAUAUCAUUUUAGUUACAUACAUCCAAGAACAUGGUCCUGGAAACUGGAGAGCUGUCCCCACUAAUACUGGUAUGUAUAAUCUUCAUUCUUCAUCUUUAUCUCUCUCUCGCGGUGAUAUAACUAUAUAUAUAUAUCUUAAGAUUUGUAUAUAUUUUACAUAGUAUUGGGGUUAUGAGGGUGAAAGAUAGGAAAUGCAUAUAUAUCAAUAUGGGUAUGGACUGAGUUUGGUUAAUAUACACUUUGUUUCUUCUCCAAAAGGGUUUGAUUGUGGAAUUAGCAUAAUCAAAACCGUAUUCUGAAACUAAUUAGAUAGGGUUUUGUUAUUGACCUUAGGAAGUUAGGAGCAAAAAUUAAUACAUGAAAUUUUGUUAUAUAUACACGUGAAGCUUAAGUUUUUACUCAUUGGUUUUUAUUUUAUUUUAACCUUCAUCGUCAUUUGUAAUUCAGGGUUGCUUAGAUGCAGCAAGAGUUGUAGGCUUAGAUGGACAAACUAUUUAAGGCCAGGAAUCAAGAGAGGCAACUUCACAGAACAUGAGGAAAAAAUGAUUGUCCAUCUCCAAGCCCUCUUAGGCAAUAGGUAAAUUUAAUCAAUCAACCCUUAAUCAAAAGAUUAUUUCUCUAAUAUUAUCUCACGCAACUUUUUGAAAUCAAGAAAAGUAAUACAAAUAAUAGAGGGCAUUUAAUUUUUUGGUGUAGAUGGGCUGCAAUUGCUUCAUAUCUUCCACAAAGGACAGACAAUGACAUUAAAAACUAUUGGAACACUCAUUUGAAGAAGAAACUCAACAAAGCCAAUCAAGAUUCUCAUCAAGAACUUGAUCAAUCAAGAGAUCGGUCCUCGCUCUCUUCUUCUCCAUCAUCUUCUUCUGCCAAUUCGAACUCUAACAUACCAAGAGGUCAAUGGGAAAGAAGACUUCAAACUGAUAUUCACUUGGCCAAGAAGGCCCUCUCUGAGGCUUUGUCGCCUGCCGUAGCACCGAUCGUUACGUCAACGUUGGCCACUACGGCGACAACAUCAUCUUCUUCUGAAUCAAGACGUUCUUCUUCCUCAACAUGCGGUUUUCUUCGGGCGCAAGAAACAUCUACCAGAUAUGCCUCUAGCACCGAGAAUAUAGCGAAAUUGCUUAAAGGGUGGGUGAAGACCUCACCAAAGACUCAGAACUCCGCUGAUCAGAAGAAUCCUCCAGAUUCUGAGACAAAAGAAGUGAUGAGGAGUGAUGAUGUUCAGGAAGACUGUGCAGGGGGAUUUCAAGCAUUUUCCGGGUUUGAUAACUCGAACGAUUGUGACUCACCAUAUCAUCAGACUAAACUUUCACCUGAUCAUGAGACUAAACAAGACAUAACUGGAUGUAGUAACCAAAGUCAAUUGUCCUUGUUCGAGAAGUGGCUGUUUGAGGAUUCUGGUGGACAGAUUGGUGAUAUUCUGCUGGAUGAAAACCCUAACUUCUUCUGAAUAACUUGGUUAAUCAGAUGGUUCUAAAUUUAGGAUCCUCUUUGUUUUUUCUUUUUCUGAUUUUUUUUUGGGAUUUCCGAAUUAACUUGCUUAGAUUAUCGUGAGCUAAGUCUCUAGUAAUUUUUUUUAUUUUUCUCGUUAAUUACACAAUUAAUAAUGUUGUGUUUUACAAAUGGUCUUCUGAAUUCUUAAGGGGGCUGAAAUAUGUCCACCCAAAUAUUGAAGUAUUGGUGAAAAAUCAUAUAUCUUUUAUUUUUCUAUUUAUCAAAUUGUCAUUUUGAAUUAUUGUUUUUCUUUCUGAAGCAUGUUAUGUUUGAGAUCUCAACAUAAAAAGAAUCUAUAUGCUACAAUUCAAACUUAUACAUUAACGCCAAACAAAACUAAAUAAAAAGACGGAAAUUCAAGCUUAGCUGCUUGUUAAAUACUCGGGGUUGUAGUUUAAUAUUGUUGUAAAUAUAAAAUGUGAUUUGUGUGUAGUGGAUAAAAACUACAGUCAUAGAAAAGUAAAAUACUUCGAGCACUAUUAGUGGCGGUGUUUUGAAAUCCGAUCCGGAUCUUUGUUUAAACCGAUAAAUUCGGUGACCCAAAUAUAAUUUGAUUUGGAUUUUAGGAAAAACUAAAAACCGAUUAAAACCCACAAAAAAUUACUAAAACUCAGAACUCAGCAACCGGUUGAACCACUGGUUAAACCAGUAAGUAACUUUUAUUUCUUUUUCAGAUUUCUUAAUUAUGUUAUUAAAAUUUGUUUUUUAUUCAAAUUAAAAAUUUAGGUUUUUAGAUUUUACUAGUAUAUUUUUCUGCUGCCUGAUAUCAACUAUGUAUCUCCCUUUUAUUAUUUUUUGUGAAUCUCAAUUAUACUAUUUAAUUUGUGAUUUAUUUGUGUGUUUUCAAAGAUUUUGAUGAAGAUUUAUUCCAUUUGAAAAAAUAAAGUCAACGAUGAUAGAGAUAACCAAAAAUUAGUUAGUGUGAUGUGGUCGAUAUUAGUUUAUUUUUUGUUAUCGAUAAUCUAUUAUUACAGUUUAAUAUUUAACUUUGGUUUUUUUAUUUAUAGUUUAAUUUUACCAUUCACAUUUCACAUUUAAAUACUUAUGGAAUUCAAGUCUUGAUAUUUUUUAUUAGAUGUCAUAAUUUCUAACUUAUUACAAAAAUUGUUAAUUAGUCUUAAUUAUUUUUGAUAGUUUGUAUGUUAAAUGAAAAAGAAAAACAAAAUUUAAGUGUUUUCUAAAUAUUUUUAAAACAUAAAAUAUGUAUUAUAGUGUGUUUCCAGAAAAAAAAAAGACUAUAGCGAUGCUGGUGCUCUUAGUACUUAACAACUUGCCCUUUUAUAGACAGAUCACUCAAAAAAAUAUUACAUGAAGAUUAUUGGAAGAUGAAUUUGUACAGAGUUUGUGAAUUUUAAAAGUUGAUAUAUUUAAAAAAAUUAUGUGAAUUGUGAAAAUUUAUAUACAAUGACUUAUAAAAUUAGAUUAGUAUAGAUUUUCUGUAUUACUUUUUCUAUCAUUCUUUUUGUAAAUCAUAUAGCAUGAUUAUUUAUUCUUUCAAACUAAAAAAAUAAAAAUAUUAAUACAUACAAAAUUAAGCAAUUCUUUUAAAUAGUUUCUUUUAAGUUUUUGUCACAAAACAAAUACUCAAAGAAGAAAAUGAUCAAAAGAGGUUUUAUUAAAAAAUUAAAAGAUUAUUUUACCCCUUGUUUAUAGAUAUAUAAAUAAUAAAAAUAUUUUUUUUAUUUUGAAUUAUAUGUUUUAAAAUCUGAAGUUUUUUUCUAAUUUUUAAACAACCUUUCGAUUUUUUUUUCAAAAAAAUUUGUCAAUUUUUUUAAAUACAAAAAUUCUUUUGAAACUAUUUUAAAAUUUUUUAUUUUAUUUUUAAAAUAUUUAUAAAUAUAGUUAUAUAUUCAAAAAUGAUAAAAGAAUAUAAAAAUAAUUAUAUAUCCAAAUAUGUAAAAGUAUAUAAAAUGUAAUGAAUUAUAAUUUUGGAUUUGGGAUUUGGAUUUAAAGUGCAAUAGAUAUUUGCUAAGUAUAUCUGAGAGAAAUUAAAGUAGUCCCGUGACUCUUCUUCUUCCUUUUCCUCCGGCCUCGUGAACCCAAAUUGAUAUAUAUAUAUACAUAAAUACACAUGUACACAUAAAUAGAAAUGGUUGUAUGACUUGUGUCUAUCAAAUCCAGUAAUCCUCUUUAUCUUAUACCAAAUUUUCAUUGAAAUAGUAUCUCUGAAUCUCUUUGACCAAAAAAACAUUAUCUCUUAAAUCUUAAUCUCUUUACAAUUGGUUCCAUCUAAAAACCAAAAAUCGAGGACAAAACAUAUUAAAUCAUACUCCUUCUGUAUCAGAAUAAAUGGGUUUUAAGGUUUUUGCACAACGAUUAAAAAUUACAAAAUUUUAUUCAAUUUUUUCGUUUGUAUAAAAACAACAAUAAAUACAAAUAAUUCAACCAAUAAAAAAUCAUACUGCAAAACAAAAAUAGUCAAAAACAUAAAAUUGCAUUUAUUUUUCAUAUAAAAACUUGAAAACAUCGCUUAAAAUGAAACAAAAUUUUUAUCUUUUUUUUUUUUUUUUUGGACGAAUAAACAAAAUUUUUAUCUUAAAACACAAAUUAAAGUGAUAUGGAGUGAAUAUUGAUAUAUCUUUUCAUGUAUAUGCAUAUGCAAACAUUGUACGUAUCAGGAAGUCCCAACAUCAUGAAUGACCACGGAUCUGGGCAUAGGUCAGUAAAACAUUGGCUUUGCUCCCAAAAUUUUUUAUACAGGUAGGCGUCUAAAUUUUGAAAAAAAAAAUUAUUCAAAAAUAUUUCAAGCUCUCAAAAUUUUAGAUUCAGCCAUGUGAAUGACGUAGACCAUAAUGUAAUUUGACAAUGGCCAAAGACCCACUGGUUCAAUCCAAAACAGCAACUUUUUCCUUUUCUAUUUUCUUAACAAUAAAUAAUUCGUUUUCAUGGAGAACCGAAACAGCAAACAUGACGCGGAGAAAAUCUCGUUCGUUAAAAUACCAUCUCAACAAGUUCUAUUAUUAACAAAGCCUAUGCACUACACAUAAAUGCAAUAGGCACUAUUCAAUUCUUAAAAUUAUCGUAGCAAUAAAUCAAACACUAUAGAGGGAGAUAUCUUAUCAUAUAUCAUUAUCAUGUUAUCCUGCAUGUCCCCGUUAUUAUUGAUAUUUUAAAUAACACAACCUAAUUAUAAUAUUUUUUUAAUAUUAGGGUUUUUGAGAGGAGCAAGCCCACAUUGAAUGCCACGCGGUUUUGUGUAGAGGGUAGAGACUUUUCCGUUUGCCACACAGCUGACUUUGGAGGCUUUACGUCCACUUUUGUAGUUAAUGCUUUACACAUUUGUAUUUUACUUUAUUUUUAUUUAUUAAAUACUCGAUUUUGAGAGACCGAAGAGUCCAAGACCAAGAGGGGUCAGCAUAUAUAUAGAAGAAGAAGGUGGACAUAGACCUUUGUCGCCAAGCUUAACCAUUAGAUCCAUCCAAAGCGACUAAUAAGUGAGGCUAAGGUACUGUGACUCAUCAACAACUAAAGUUGUUUCAGUUUUCUUCUAUUUUCUUGGCAAAGAGUUGUAGUGAGAAUUUAAGAAAGGCAAGAAGAGGAAAGGAGGGAUUGUUAAUUCAUUUAUUGAUCAAGAGAGGUAUUAAAAUAAUGGUGAGGCCUCCUUGUUGUGACAAAGGAGGAGUGAAGAAAGGGCCAUGGACUCCUGAAGAAGAUAUCAUUUUAGUUACUUACAUCCAAGAACAUGGUCCUGGAAACUGGAGAGCUGUCCCCACUAAUACUGGUAUGUAUAAUCUUCAUUCUUCAUCUUUAUCUCUCUCUCGCGGUGAUAUAACUAUAUAUAUAUAUCUUAAGAUUUGUAUAUAUUUUACAUAGUAUUGGGGUUAUGAGGGUGAAAGAUAGGAAAUGCAUAUAUAUCAAUAUGGGUAUGGACUGAGUUUGGUUAAUAUACACUUUGUUUCUUCUCCAAAAGGGUUUGAUUGUGGAAUUAGCAUAAUCAAAACCGUAUUCUGAAACUAAUUAGAUAGGGUUUUGUUAUUGACCUUAGGAAGUUAGGAGCAAAAAUUAAUACAUGAAAUUUUGUUAUAUAUACACGUGAAGCUUAAGUUUUUACUCAUUGGUUUUUAUUUUAUUUUAACCUUCAUCGUCAUUUGUAAUUCAGGGUUGCUUAGAUGCAGCAAGAGUUGUAGGCUUAGAUGGACAAACUAUUUAAGGCCAGGAAUCAAGAGAGGCAACUUCACAGAACAUGAGGAAAAAAUGAUUGUCCAUCUCCAAGCCCUCUUAGGCAAUAGGUAAAUUUAAUCAAUCAACCCUUAAUCAAAAGAUUAUUUCUCUAAUAUUAUCUCACGCAACUUUUUGAAAUCAAGAAAAGUAAUACAAAUAAUAGAGGGCAUUUAAUUUUUUGGUGUAGAUGGGCUGCAAUUGCUUCAUAUCUUCCACAAAGGACAGACAAUGACAUUAAAAACUAUUGGAACACUCAUUUGAAGAAGAAACUCAACAAAGCCAAUCAAGAUUCUCAUCAAGAACUUGAUCAAUCAAGAGAUCGGUCCUCGCUCUCUUCUUCUCCAUCAUCUUCUUCUGCCAAUUCGAACUCUAACAUACCAAGAGGUCAAUGGGAAAGAAGACUUCAAACUGAUAUUCACUUGGCCAAGAAGGCCCUCUCUGAGGCUUUGUCGCCUGCCGUAGCACCGAUCGUUACGUCAACGUUGGCCACUACGGCGACAACAUCAUCUUCUUCUGAAUCAAGACGUUCUUCUUCCUCAACAUGCGGUUUUCUUCGGGCGCAAGAAACAUCUACCAGAUAUGCCUCUAGCACCGAGAAUAUAGCGAAAUUGCUUAAAGGGUGGGUGAAGACCUCACCAAAGACUCAGAACUCCGCUGAUCAGAAGAAUCCUCCAGAUUCUGAGACAAAAGAAGUGAUGAGGAGUGAUGAUGUUCAGGAAGACUGUGCAGGGGGAUUUCAAGCAUUUUCCGGGUUUGAUAACUCGAACGAUUGUGACUCACCAUAUCAUCAGACUAAACUUUCACCUGAUCAUGAGACUAAACAAGACAUAACUGGAUGUAGUAACCAAAGUCAAUUGUCCUUGUUCGAGAAGUGGCUGUUUGAGGAUUCUGGUGGACAGAUUGGUGAUAUUCUGCUGGAUGAAAACCCUAACUUCUUCUGAAUAACUUGGUUAAUCAGAUGGUUCUAAAUUUAGGAUCCUCUUUGUUUUUUCUUUUUCUGAUUUUUUUUUGGGAUUUCCGAAUUAACUUGCUUAGAUUAUCGUGAGCUAAGUCUCUAGUAAUUUUUUUUAUUUUUCUCGUUAAUUACACAAUUAAUAAUGUUGUGUUUUACAAAUGGUCUUCUGAAUUCUUAAGGGGGCUGAAAUAUGUCCACCCAAAUAUUGAAGUAUUGGUGAAAAAUCAUAUAUCUUUUAUUUUUCUAUUUAUCAAAUUGUCAUUUUGAAUUAUUGUUUUUCUUUCUGAAGCAUGUUAUGUUUGAGAUCUCAACAUAAAAAGAAUCUAUAUGCUACAAUUCAAACUUAUACAUUAACGCCAAACAAAACUAAAUAAAAAGACGGAAAUUCAAGCUUAGCUGCUUGUUAAAUACUCGGGGUUGUAGUUUAAUAUUGUUGUAAAUAUAAAAUGUGAUUUGUGUGUAGUGGAUAAAAACUACAGUCAUAGAAAAGUAAAAUACUUCGAGCACUAUUAGUGGCGGUGUUUUGAAAUCCGAUCCGGAUCUUUGUUUAAACCGAUAAAUUCGGUGACCCAAAUAUAAUUUGAUUUGGAUUUUAGGAAAAACUAAAAACCGAUUAAAACCCACAAAAAAUUACUAAAACUCAGAACUCAGCAACCGGUUGAACCACUGGUUAAACCAGUAAGUAACUUUUAUUUCUUUUUCAGAUUUCUUAAUUAUGUUAUUAAAAUUUGUUUUUUAUUCAAAUUAAAAAUUUAGGUUUUUAGAUUUUACUAGUAUAUUUUUCUGCUGCCUGAUAUCAACUAUGUAUCUCCCUUUUAUUAUUUUUUGUGAAUCUCAAUUAUACUAUUUAAUUUGUGAUUUAUUUGUGUGUUUUCAAAGAUUUUGAUGAAGAUUUAUUCCAUUUGAAAAAAUAAAGUCAACGAUGAUAGAGAUAACCAAAAAUUAGUUAGUGUGAUGUGGUCGAUAUUAGUUUAUUUUUUGUUAUCGAUAAUCUAUUAUUACAGUUUAAUAUUUAACUUUGGUUUUUUUAUUUAUAGUUUAAUUUUACCAUUCACAUUUCACAUUUAAAUACUUAUGGAAUUCAAGUCUUGAUAUUUUUUAUUAGAUGUCAUAAUUUCUAACUUAUUACAAAAAUUGUUAAUUAGUCUUAAUUAUUUUUGAUAGUUUGUAUGUUAAAUGAAAAAGAAAAACAAAAUUUAAGUGUUUUCUAAAUAUUUUUAAAACAUAAAAUAUGUAUUAUAGUGUGUUUCCAGAAAAAAAAAAGACUAUAGCGAUGCUGGUGCUCUUAGUACUUAACAACUUGCCCUUUUAUAGACAGAUCACUCAAAAAAAUAUUACAUGAAGAUUAUUGGAAGAUGAAUUUGUACAGAGUUUGUGAAUUUUAAAAGUUGAUAUAUUUAAAAAAAUUAUGUGAAUUGUGAAAAUUUAUAUACAAUGACUUAUAAAAUUAGAUUAGUAUAGAUUUUCUGUAUUACUUUUUCUAUCAUUCUUUUUGUAAAUCAUAUAGCAUGAUUAUUUAUUCUUUCAAACUAAAAAAAUAAAAAUAUUAAUACAUACAAAAUUAAGCAAUUCUUUUAAAUAGUUUCUUUUAAGUUUUUGUCACAAAACAAAUACUCAAAGAAGAAAAUGAUCAAAAGAGGUUUUAUUAAAAAAUUAAAAGAUUAUUUUACCCCUUGUUUAUAGAUAUAUAAAUAAUAAAAAUAUUUUUUUUAUUUUGAAUUAUAUGUUUUAAAAUCUGAAGUUUUUUUCUAAUUUUUAAACAACCUUUCGAUUUUUUUUUCAAAAAAAUUUGUCAAUUUUUUUAAAUACAAAAAUUCUUUUGAAACUAUUUUAAAAUUUUUUAUUUUAUUUUUAAAAUAUUUAUAAAUAUAGUUAUAUAUUCAAAAAUGAUAAAAGAAUAUAAAAAUAAUUAUAUAUCCAAAUAUGUAAAAGUAUAUAAAAUGUAAUGAAUUAUAAUUUUGGAUUUGGGAUUUGGAUUUAAAGUGCAAUAGAUAUUUGCUAAGUAUAUCUAUUUUGUUUUCUAAUUUUUUUAUUACAUAGAUUUUGAAAAUCACAUAGAUACAUAUGAUAUUUUAAAAGUUGAGUUUUAUUAGUAAAAAUGAAUAGAAUUCAUCUUAUAAUAACACUAGAUUUAGUUAAAAUUAAAGAAUCAAUAAUAACUAAACUUUUUGAAUAACAAAUGAUUUCAAUGAAUUUUAAAUUUUUGUAAACUAAUAAUAAUAUACUCUAAUAAGAUUUUUGAAAUCGAAAAACCAAUAACAUUGAAUUCUCAUUUUUUUAAAAAGUUUACGAGAAUUCCCUUAUCAAUAAUACCCCUGCAUUUAUUUUAGCGUAAAACAGCGGAGCCGCUCAGUAAAAUCAAAUCGUAGAUUUAAAGAUAGCCUUAAGGAUUUUAACGACCUACUAAUAAAAAAAUUAGUACUACUAGUACUAGUAAAGAAAAUUAAACAAAAUAUUUAUUGCGUGAAAUAAAUGGGGCCGACAAACUAUUUAUUAAAAACAGAAAAUAAAUUAAAAACGGGAUGGAUUGGAAGUAUUACUGUUGAAAGUGAUGAAGAAUUAAAGUUUGACUUUCUUUCUUGUGUGACCUUGUGAGUUAUGACUUGCAUCAAAUAGUCAUUAAAGUACUAUAAGAAAAGUCAAUGUCACCAUCAAUUUAGCUACUCCUUUCUUGUUAAGAUAAAGCCAGUUGUCGUGCGAUGGUGAAAAUAGUAGAACCAUGUUUACAAAAGUGAACCGCUUGUGUUAUUGUUUGUUGGAUUAUGGUUCAAUUGACCUAACCGAUUAUUUCAAAAAAAUUGUCUCACCAAUCUCGUAUCAACAUGGAAACUGUAAUCCAAAAAAAUAAAAAAUAAAUAAAGAGGCAAAAUAAGUAGCAGCAACUUUGCUGUAAAGCAAAUUAAGCAAUGUACGGCAAGAACCUUAUGAAAUUUCUUGGCUUUUGAUUUAAUUCUCUUCUGCCGUAAUUUGUGUUAUUGUUUGUUGGAUUAUGGUUCAGUUGACCUAACCGACUAUUUCAAAAAAAUUGUCUCACCAAUCUCGUAUCAUCAUGGAAACUGUAAUCCAAAAAGAAAGAAGAAAAUCAAAUAAAGAGGCAAAAUAAGCAGCAGCAACUUUGCUGUAAAGAAUGUACGGCAAGAACCCUAUGAAAUUUCUUGGCUUUUGACUUAAUUCUCUUCUGCCGUAAUUUUAUGAAACUUUUUAUCGAUUAUAGAACAGUAUAUAAGUGUACACAAUAAUAUAUAGAUGUAAAUAUUUCACAUACAUCUCGAUGUAUAUACCUGUACAGUUUCUUUGCAUGUGUAUAAUAGAAGGUAAAAACUACACUACAAUGUUAUGUGCAUAUAUGAUUGUAACGAAAUAAAUAGUUUACAUCAGGUCCAAAUUCAAGGAGGUAUAUCUUAUGAAUAAUUAGCAAACAAGUAGAAAAUUUGAAGCACUUGUGUAUUUCUAGAAUUCUUUGUUGCUUAAUUGAAUAGGCUAGACGUUAAUCAAUUGUGAAUAUUUGGCGAGCUUUGGUCUUGGGUCCGAGGACUUCAGCCCAAUGGCAAAGAAAAGGGUGUUAAAAAGGAGCUGAAGAAUCAUGUGCGGUUCAUGUGAUCUCAAAGCCCAACGCCUCCCUUCUAUUUAUUGCAACCAUAUUUCUCGCUUAGUCACAUGUUAAUACUACAUCAGUUUGUUUUAAAAAAAUUUGAUGUUUCAAUAUAUAAGAUAUUUUUAUUUUUCUAGGUAAUUUUUUUACUUUAUUAAAAACUGUGCAAUCAAUCAUAUUUGAUAAUCUAUUUUGUAAUUGGUUGAAUAACAUUAAUUUAUAGUUUUAAUGAUAUUUUCUAGAUAAAACAAUGAUUUUUUUAAUAUGCAUGUUUUUACCUAAACAUCUUAUAUUUAGGAACAGAGGGAGUAUGUUAUUUUGAUUGGGACAUUAAUUAUUUAAUAGCAGAGUGCCUAAUUAGACUAGACGAUAAAUUGUUGAGUAUCUACCAAGGUUAAUUAAGUACAUCCUAUAGUACAGCAGUACAGGCGACAAUAUGUUAUUUUUCAACUUCAUAUGUUUAAAAGAAAGUUUCAAGUCUGAAGUUAUGGAUCAUUUGAUAUAUUCUUUUUAAAAUUUAUACACUAUAUCCAUUAAGCAAUUUAUUUAAUUUUCUAAACUCACGCUUCAUUAUUUGAUAUUACAUGAAUAAUGAAACCUAAGAUUCCUUAUCCCAAUUAAAACAUAAGAUUGACCGCUGAGUAGUCAAAGAUUACACAUCACUAAUACUAAUGGAAGCUGGGAAUGAGGGUUGGGUUGUUGAGACACAAACUCUCUUUGCUUUAUUUCAUUAAUUAAAUCUGUAUCCUUAUCAUAAAUCAUAACCAUCAUUACUCCACUAACCACUUUGGCUUUUGUAAUUAACGAAUUGCAAUCUUACUUUGUAAUGCCUUGUAGAAAGAAAUUUAAUCAUUUUGAUUAUUCUAGUUACUUACUAGAUGUAUAUAGUUCAGAUUUAUUUUCCUCUGGGUUGAUUUUACUGCGCCUCUCAAUAUGAUGACAUUUUCAGUUCAUCUUAAACUGAACCAAACGUUAGACACAAUAAUAUAUCUUAUCUGGAUUAUUCGAUUUCGCUCAAAUUCAAACAUUAAUAUGUGACAAAGUACUUCUAACUAAAAAAAUAAAUAAGCAAUUAUUGAUUCUUAAUUAUUAUCAUAUUUAUGUUACUGUAUUAAGUAUUACUCUUAAGUUUCAUUUUAGGUCAUAUGUUGAAUUCCUAACAAAUGCGUCUAUUAGAAAUCGGGAACCACAAGCGCUUGGUUAUGCGACUAGUUUUUUUCAAUAACAUCUCAAGAGUUACGUCGAAUCCAAAGGUUUUGCAUUCUUAUAUCUAAUUUCGAAUGGGGAAAAUUUCAAAAAUCUCCUGCAUGAUUAUCCGAGAUUGAUGGAACAUAUGAAUUGGAGCAUUUGAUGUCAACUGAAAUACGAAUGAAUGUAUGCACGUGUAAUUGAAAAAAUCAAGACGUAAUUGCAAGUAGCAAAAGAUCGUGAAGGAUUGCGUUGUCCUCAUAAUGUACAAAAUAGGUUUGGUAGCCCAUCUUAUCAGUCCCACGUUUUUAGGUCGAAAUGUACAUUUAUACACACUAUUUUUGUUCAUGCAUUUUCAUCACGCGAUCUACACAUAUUGAUUGUUAUUUAGAUUACAUACAAAUUUAAAAUUUUUGAUCGUAAGUCAACAAAGUGGGUCACAGUACCACGUAUCCAAUACAGACAGUUCUUAUCUAUGCAUAGUAUUAUCUCGAAGUCGAUACUAAGUCAUAUUCUUUACGACACGUAUAAAUAGUUUUCGUAAUCAUACGUACGUGUUAUUAGAACAUAAUGGAUGAAGAAGAAGAAGAAAACAUGGGGUUAAGGGGCCACCACAGUACAUAUUAGGUCUUCCAUCCAUUAAUGGGCUCUUAUGAUUAAAUUAUGACUUAAUAAGGUGAUUUGAGAACUUAAAAACCUUUGAUAGUGCUAAUGAUUUUUUUUUUUCUCAGAUAGAACCUCGUAGAGGUUCUUAAAUAAUUUUUUUUUUUAAGUAGAACAAUUUAAAAAAAAAACAUACAUAGAAAGAAGAGAAAAGAGAAACAAUGAAAACAAAAAGAGAGAGAACAAAACAACAACAAGACCAACAAAUGUUGGUUGAAAGUGUCGUUGAAAUAUAGAAAAAAAAAGCAAGAUGAUUACAAAAAUUUAGAGAUAAAAAAACAUAAUUGGGAACCAAACUGGUGACAGAAACCACUCGUAUAAAAAGAUCAGACAUAUAAACGUAAUGGUCAUGUAUGCACCUGGACAAUCGAAUAUAAGGUAAUCAUCAUCUCGCUAGUUAUCCAAUUCUUCAUCCACCCAAUCAUGUAAGCUAUCAUCAAGGUAUCUGUGGAUUAAGAGUUAAGGAUUCUCCAUGCAAUUUUCUAACAUAUAAAGGCAACAUAAUUAAGACAGGAGGUAGUUAAAUUCUCAUUUUAUGUCUAUGUAACAACAAAAAGGAUACUCCAUGCAGUACAUGAGGGCACCAUUAGGACCAAGCCCGACCUCCUCCAUUACAUCUUCCAAAGAAACAAGUUCUCUGAUAUCUGCAAACAGCAAAAAAGUGUGAAACCAAGAAAUUGAGAGGCACUAUAAACCCAAGGGAUUUUGAUUGAAUAACUCACCAAAGAUCGACGGUAGUGGAAGUAUGAAACAAAUUCAGACGGGCAAUUUUUACACAGCACCUACAUCAAUAACAUUUAACUUACUAAGCCCUACCAGAAAAUAUGGAGGUAGACCAAUGAUUAUCGAGUUGUUUUUUUUACCUCUAUAGGAGUUGAUACUUUCUUCUCACUUAUUACAUCAUAUUUCUGUUUCUUUGUCCCAGCUUUUAGUCCAUGCCAUGGUAACAAAGCAAAAUCUUCCACAAAAACUCAAAUAAAGCAAAGAGAGUGAAUGAUUCUAAAAGAUGCAGGAAGCUGUGAAUGUGUCGCUUGGGAACUUGCUUUCGUACCCAUUUGUGAGAGCUGAAGUAGUGAAGAACACGCUUGCUAUAAGAGGAGCUCACUACAAUUUUGUCAAAGGCACAUUUGAGAAGAGAGGAAAAGAUCCGGUUCGGUGACGAGAACGCCGUCGACGGCGAAACCGGAAACAUAGUUGUUCGUGACGACGAUCGAGUUUCUGGGGAGGAGAGUCGGGAGGCGAGAGAGAGGCUGCAAGAGACGGAGAUCGGUGAAGGAGAGACAUUGAGGAACGAUGUGAUAAGCGACGGAGAGACGACGACCGUUGGUGGAGGAUGAGGAGAGAUUUCGACAGAAUCGACGACGAACAAACAGAUCAAACAUCAUCAAGCCUUGGAGAUUUCGACAGAAUCGAACGCUAAGAGUCGAUGACAUCGAAGAGGAGAACGAAAGAGAGAGAGACAUGACUUUUUCCCUUUCGUCUAAAAUGAACCAACCAAUACCCUGCUGCCACGUCUAGGGUUUUUACCGAUCCUAAACUCACCUAAUUAAGGACCGGUUCUGUUUAAUAACACCAUUUUUUAUUUAAUUUUUUCUCUUUAUUACUUUAGAACCUCCAUCUCAACCUACCGAUGGAGGUGGUCUUACAAAUACAAGCUUAGCUGUUUUCUUCCUUUUAGAACCAAUCACUUUGUUUGGUCUUAAAGAAAAGCUUUAUCAUCAUUUUAGGGUUUUCUAGCAAAAUUGAACAUUAGUUGCAUCCACACAGCACCCACUUUUCUAUAUUAUAUUAUUCGCUUGCUUAUGGUUAUGAUUAUUAAUCAGUUAGUUAAAUCCAUAAAAUGAUUACUAAGCGCUAUGCUGGUUGGAAUAUAAGAAGUGUUUUAUCUUCUUCUGAAAGUUGCAUAUAGCAUCAGUUUUGGGAGAAAUUCAUCUAAAACGACAAUAAUGUCAAUAAAGACGGGUGCCUAACUCACAAAGUGGUGGCUCACUGGCUCCAGAUCUCGUGGUUUAUAUUGCAAGUGAACGUUUUUAUGUAUCUCCUAUCUUAUUGACAUUUUUUGGUUCAUACAACGAGAAAUAAAAAAGGCUUAUGACAAAUAAGUCUCUUUUCUAAGCCUAGCGAAGUUUCAAAUUCUGAUUCAGCAUAACUUGCUCAAUCUUUUCUAACUGGUGAGUAUUCAAGAAAAAAAUUUAGACUUUAUUACAAUAUUACAAACACAUGUGAAUAAAUGGAUAGUUGUGGACGCCAAAAGAAAAUUAAAUUACAAAAUAUAUAUAUGUACAUACAUGUAUGAUGUACGCAUUUAAAAACAAAUCUCUGGUAAAAUAGCUAGGUAAGUUUUCACUUUUCAUCUGUGAUGAUACAUGAUACAUUCCUUGGAAAUGUACAUGUACACGUCUAUAAAUACAUAUACGUAUUACUGACAUACACAUGCAUAUAGAAUUUUCUAAGUGGUUGUUUGUUGAUUGCUAUAAAUAUAUCAUCUAGGGUUAGGGUUAACAACUGAGGGCCUCUUGUAAUUAUCUCGAGCUUUCACUCUCUUUCCAUCUCCCACCGUAGAAAAUUAGAAAUUAAAAUUAACAAAAAACUUUAUAUAACUUUUUUUUCCUUUUUCUUCUCAAAUAUAUAGCUCACACUAAUACAUUAUCAUAUACAAGUUAAGAUUUCACAAAAGAGCCAAGAAGAAGAACUAUGAGGAAGCGUCAAGUGGUGUUAAGGAGAGCAUCGCCGGAGGAGCCUUCUAGAAUCUCCUCGACGGCUUCCUCUCGGAUGUUGAGAGGUGUGAGAUACGGCGAGUGUCAGAAGAACCACGCCGCAGCAGUUGGAGGCUACGCCGUUGACGGCUGCCGGGAGUUCAUGGCAAGCAACGGAGAGGAAGGUACGGUGUCAGCGCUAACUUGCGCCGCCCGUGGCUGGCACCAACGGUGUCAGCGCUAACUUGCGCCGCCUGUGGCUGCCACCGCAGUUUCCACCGGAGAGAAACCGAGGUUGUUUGCGACUGUGAGUCACCUCCCUCGAGUGGGAAUUAGACCAGCAAAACUAGAGCUGGCUAAAAAAUUGUUCCUGUCUUUGUGUGUUAUAUAUUCUCAUAGGGUGAAACUGAAAAUAUUAUAGCUUUCUUAAUGUCAAGGAUUUGUGUCUCUUUAAGAAUUUUCAAAGUACACUUAUUAUAUAUUGAAAGUGGUAAAAGAUUUAUUGUAAUUGGAUGCCUUCUGAGUUUGAGAAUGUUUUGGAAAAUUGGGUUUUAAAUAAAAUGUGAAGAUUAUUGUUGUUUCAUGUUUUAUCAUGUUUGAUCUUUUUCGGUAUUGGUCAUAUUUAUGUAUUUUAAUUUGUUUGUCCAACCAUAUAUCGUUCCAAAGCUAUUUCCACUUAAGACAAUUGUUAAUUGUAUUGUGAAGUGGAUUGGUAACAAAUUAAAUAUGUGUAUCUUUUUAUGAAUGGAUGAGAAUGAGAUUUGAAUGUUCCUUUAACAUAUUUGGAAGGUUCUUCUCUUCUGGUGAAGUUAUAUGAAUAUAGUAACACAAUUAUUGGUUCCCUCAAUUAAUUCUUCGAUAUAUUUUAAUUUGAUUUUUUGAGACCACUCCUUUAGUUUUUGUUUUCGCAUGAGAAUUGUGGAGUUAAGCUUGAAACUGUUGUUCUCUUAUAGCACUAUUACAUACUUGCUGUUAUUUUUUAAUUAUGGCAUGAUAAGAUCAACUUCCUUCACGAAUAUGCCUUGCAUAUAUACAUGUUUAUAAUUCUAAAAUAGUAUUUUUUUUUUUGAACUUAAUUAAUUUUAUUAUUCUAAUCUUUUAUUUUUGCUUUAGAAGUGAGAUCUUUCAAAUUUUUAUAUGACAUGAUUAGAACAGAUAAGAAAAUAACUUUGAAAAAAAAGGGAGGAAGAGGCCCACAAAUCUUAUCCUUGUUGGUUGCUAACUUGCUAUGAUGUUUUUAAUUGAUUUAUUAAAGAACCGUUAAGGCUAAUGAUCAUUCACAAUAAUGGCCUGUGACUUCUGAGCUUUUGUCUUCUAUAAAAUCAGAAAUAGGUGGGAAUUAAUCUAAGUACGUACAUUAACAAAGCAAUAAAUAUAACGAAGGAAUGCCAAAAGAAGAAAAAAAACGACCUUGAUAUAACUUCAAAGAGAUUGUGUUGUUAUUACUGCUAUAAAUUAAUUACAACAUUCUGUAUCACAUUUAGUUUGUUAAUUGAAUUCAAAAUUAACAUAAACAACUGAGGAAGUUAGAUAUUUUCGUACGAAGAAACUUAGAUAUCUUUGGCUGGUUUAUAGAUUUGAAAUGACAUGUGAACUGUAUCAUCAUGAACGUACAUUGUUAGGUAUUUGAGUAUGGAGAGAAACAAUUCCAACUGCAUAUAUUUGUUAGCAACAUUGUGCCGAACUUGGUCAGGCCAAUGUCGAUUUUAAAAUCCCUAAAUUUUCAUAUAAAUAUUAAAUAAUUGACAUAGUAAAAUGAGAAAAUAUAUUAUGUAUUUAUAUAUAUAUAUAUAUAUAUAUUACUUGAGAAACAAAUAUUUAACAUUUUAUUUUGUAUCAAUUUACAGCACAUGUGAUAGAGCUAAAUGAAAAAAUUUUUUUCAAGCGGGUUUAGAUCAGCACAUAUUCACAUCAUAUUUCCAAUUUCUUUAUCAUGAAUCUAGCUAGUUAUAUUUCUAAGUUCUCACACACUCAUUCACUUGCGACUCAUUAAUCAUAAUACAUAGUAUCCCAUCGUGAACACGUACCUUACAUUCCAGUUCUGAUAUUCAUGAUAUCUUACACUAUUCGCAACUCCAUUUUCAUAUCGAUCCUUGGUUCAAUCCUACUCAUGCUGUUUAUUAGAUUUUAAUUAAGUUGGCCCCCAUGACUCAACUGGACGUCUGGACCCAACAUAAUUAAAUAAAAGAGAGAACUUUUGCGAUUCGAUUAACCCCGAGGAUUACGAGCUAGCUACUAUGGAUUGUACAUAUAUCGACCUAAACUAAACCAAUUAUCUUCUAUCGAUCUUCAAAAACUUAGCAACUGAUUAGGCCAAAUUUAACAUUUUACCAAAAAAAAAAAUUGAUUAGGUCAAAUCGUAUCUUAUAUAUUGGUUCUUCAAAAAACCGAUCCAGUUUAGGUGAACAUAGAGAUCACUGAACAAUUAAUCCUAGUGAACCAAACAAAUAUUAGAGACUAUUUUGGUUUAUGCUGGUUUACUAUUUGUGGAAACCAAAAAAGCGAUUGGGUUCACUAACUGAACAUGUAGAAUCAUGUAUAGGAAAUGGAAAAGGAUCAGCAGGAGGUUUUAAAUCACCGGAAGUAACCGGAGAGCGGCUAAGGGCGUUGAUUAUACGGCAUGAGCCACCAUUGACUGACGAAUAGAAAAAAAAAAAUCAAAAUACUUGAAAUUUUGAAAAUUUAGCAACCCUUCUCCGUCUAGAUUUAGACCUUAAAUUACUCCAUUAUUAGUUCUAAAAUGAAAUAUCACUCACAAAUAGUCUAAUAACAGAAUUGUUGUGGAUGGUUUUCCCGCUACCAUCAGUGUAUUAAAAGUUUUAGUUGAACAAAAUUUAUUUUGUAUGUUAAAUGAGUGAGUCGGCUUAAUGUUUAACCUAAAAGCCCAAAAUUGUGAAUAAGCCCAUUCAUAUAUGUUAUUUUUCCUUCACAAGACACCAUAUUAAAAUCAUAGUUAUUCUUGGGAACUAAGAGGUUCACCAAUCAAUAGGAUUUCAUUAUUUCAUUAUUUCAAUUUCGAUAUCUUUUUAAAAGAAACAAAAUAUUUUUAAAAAAGUAUUUUUAACGUCGCCAGCAAAACACUAAACCCUAAAUCCUAAUCCCUAAACCCUAAAUCUCAAACCCUAAACCCUUGGGUAAACCCUAAACCUUUGGAUAAAUCCUAAACUCUAAAUAAAACACUAAACACUGAACCUUAAACCCUAAAUCCUAAACCCUAAUCCUAAACCCUAAACUCUUGAGUGUUUUAGCGUUUAUUGAUUUUGAUUUAGAGUUUAGGAUUUAUCCAAAGGUUUAGGGUUUAUCCAAGGAUUUCGGAUUUAGGGAUUAGGUUUUAGGAUUUAGUGUUUUGCUGACGACGUUAAAAAUAUAUAUAUUUUUAAUUACUACUAUUUUUUUAUUUAUUUCUUUUUACUUUUUAAUUUUAAAAGCAUAAUAUAAUUUGAUAAUAUUUUGUUUUCUUUUUUUAAAGAUAUCAAUUUUGAAAUAAUGAAAUCUAUUGGUUGGUGAAUUUAUAAGGAGUGAACCUUAGAAUAAGUCUAAAAAUCAGACGAAAUAGAUAUUUCCAAAAACAAAAGAAAAAAAGGAAAGGAAAACAGCGUAAAAGGAAACUACAAAACCCUCAAUCACCGUCAUCAAAAGGCGUCAAGAAGCAGUACUGUAAUUUUUUUAUAAACGGUAAAAAACAGUACUAUCUUGUGGAUUGUGGUAAAAUCCCAAAGUCUCAAAAUCUCUUUAAACUCUUGUUUUGAGUGAAAUAAGCUGUAAUUUUAUAUUUUUUUAUCUAGAAUUAACGCUGAAACCUUUUUUUUUGUAGCUGUUUAAUUAUUUUCUGUAGAAUGUUUGAUAUAGAUUUAAAGAGAUUUAAUUAUUUAUUUAUAUUUUUUGAACCAAUAUAUAGGUGUUCUAAAUAUUUUGUUUUCUAAAAGUUUUUUUUGCAGUUUUUAAAAUCUUUUUCUAAAACAUAAUUAAAAAAACUAGUUGCAAAAAUUUUCUAGAACAUUUUUAAAUUAAAUACUCGCCAAUCAUCACCGAGGUUUCUUAGACUAUUGUUUCAGUAAUCGUCUUAGAUCAUUGUUAGUGGUCAGACAUACUCUUACCCCCUGUUCGGAAUCGCGCUAGGCAUUAGUCGGGCGGUUGUCAUGGGCCUAGCGAAUUAACAAAAAGUCGGAGAUUAGUCGGGGAUUAAUCGGGGCCUAGUUUCUAAAUAUUUAUCGAGCUUAUAUAUAUAUAUCAAGUUAACUUUGCAUCGAAAAUACAAUGAUUCUCGCUAGCUCAUGUGGUAAGUGGUGCGCACUUUUGUUAAAGCACGCGGGUUCGACUACGUACGUCGUCUGUUACGUAUAUUUUUUUAAUUCUUUUCUUUUAAACGAAGGACAAAAUAGUAUUUCACCAGUCAUCUUCGUCAUUGACCUAGUUCUGUAAAUCGACGCCUCCAUUUAUGUAUCAGUUUUUUCACACGUUUAUACAUUUUAAAAUCAUUCCGUAGCUUCUUCCUAUCAAAUCUUUUGUAAAUUUAACUAUAAUACACUUUUUGAAACACAAAAUGAAACAAAAAAACGAAAAUUUCUGAAAAAUCCGAUCAAAUCUCCGAUUAGGGUCGUUUCGCCACGGUGGUCGGCCGCCUGGACCGAGUUUUCGAACAGAGCUCUUACCAUAUAUAAUAUUAAUAGUUUUGUAUUUGAUUAAUUGUUUAAAUUUAUUGAAAAAGAAGGUUCGUGCAAUUAUAUUAUGACACGUGUGUUUGGAUUUCUCAAACAUUUUUGACUAUCUUAAAUUAGAUAUUCAUUUGACGUAAAAAAUAGAUAUUCAUUUAAAAUUUUUGUUUUCUCUUUUUUUUCUGUAUUUUUAACAUAUUUUAUUAUCUAAAACCUCUUUAAAAAUUUGCUUAAUUCAAAACUUAUUUUAUUUAUUAGAUUUUAAAAAUAAAUAUUAGAUUAUUAUUGCUUUAUUAUGUAUAUAUAAGAAUGAUUUAUUUUUAUGUAUUAUUACCGAGGAAAAAUGUAGGAUAUGACAUCCCAUAAAUAUUUUUUUUUAAGUUAUAUAUUUGUUAAAUAAAAAAAAUUGAGUGGUGAAAGUUUUUUUCCAAUGAGUUCAAACCAAAAUUAAGUUUUCAUGUUGAGGAACCUCAUUGUUAGUGUGCUAUCUUAUAUAGAGUCUUAGGAAAGGUUUAUGAAUAUUAAACAAUUUUUAUAGCCACUAUAAUCGAAUUUUUUGUUAUCAAAAUUACUAUAGACUCAAUUAACCAAACUAGAACUACAAUCGCUUUUUAUGACAAGCAAAAAUAAAUAAAACCUGAUCUUUUUAUAGAUGCUGAAAAGUGAAAAGAACACAAUUCACAGAUGGUUAUGGAAUCUUCAGCAUCUAUAAAAAUAUAAACAUAAAAUUAUGAAAUGGGUGUUUUAACCACUGCGAUCGUUUUCAUAGGUGUUCUCCAAUUUAUUCUCCCGGUCAUUUCUUAUUUUUAUUUUAUUCUCCAAGAAAAAAGACUACGAAUAUUAAUUUUUUACUUAACAGAAAACGUGUUUAAUUAUCACAUGGUGGAUUAAAAGGUUUAGUUUCUUAAAAAGAAACUCAUCUUGAGAAGACAACAAUAAGCUGGUACUUUUGGUCAAAAAAAAAAAAAAAGCUGGUACAAGUGGUUUGAGCACAUAAACUCAUAUUAUUUUGUAUAAAUACGUCUCCCUAUAAUUAAUUUUCAACCAGAGGAUGUUAUCUAGAUUAUGUUCAUAAGUCUUUUAAUUGUAACACGUGUUUCAUAGGUUCCUUUGUUUAUUUUUUUUUCAUAUAACAAUCAUCUUAUAUAAAACACACAGGAGUGGGAAAAAGAUACACACAAUUUGGUCUUUGAUUCCCCAAAUCUCAGCUUUCUCCGAAUAAGUAUAUUACUAGUAAUUCAUGCUAUCCCACUUCAUUCUUUUUUUUUUCGCCAUAUAAAAUUUAAAACUUAUGUUUGCAAGACUUACUAUUUACCAACAUGUGGUCAACAUAUGAAGACAAGAAUCAUUUAAUUGUUCUUUGUAACAUUAUUAUUAUUGUAAAAUUCUAUGAGUGGUGCUAAAAAUCCAUAGAGGCAUGUAUUUGUCAAUUUACCACAUAAAACUGAUAAAACAUCGUUACACACCUAUGACCAAAUACAUUGUAAACUUAGAUAAAACGGAAAAUGUAGAGAAUAAACUAAUGCUGGAAUAUAAUAAACUAAUGUUGAAUGUACGUCUUAAAUCUUACAGGAUGAGAUUUUCUAAAACUCAAAGAUAGAGAACCGUUGAACGCAAAUCGCGUUUCCUCAAUAGUUUGUGAUUGCAAAAAGUAAAAAUAAUAGAGAAUCGCUGCACAGAAAAAUCACUUCAUUUUGGACCUUCAUAAUCUUUUUUUUUGUAUAACUGAUUGGACCUUUCCCAAUCAAAGUAUAUUAUAUCCCAUUGGGAAAUUACGUCGACCUAUAUUAUUAUAUAUAUCCAGAUAGCUAGCGAACCUUUCCAAAUAUAUACAGUGAAAUCUCUAUAGAUUAAUAAAGUUGGAACUAGAACAAAACUAUAUUUUUUUAUUAAUUUAUAAAGAUAUUAAUUUAUCGAUAUAUUAAUUGAACCAAAAACUCGAUUUAAAACUAUAAAAUAGAUUUUUAGUAUACAUAAAUUUAUAAAAUAUUAAUUUAAAGAAGUUAUACUAGAUGUACGAUUUUGUAACCAUUAGUUACCUCAGGAACAUUUCAAAUUAGUAAGUGGUACACUGUGCACAUGGUAUAUGGCAGUUAGGGCCAAAACCUCAGCAUGUGUUUAAAAGUUUGUCCUCACCAUGAAAAAGAUAUCUGUGACUUCACGAAAUGCGUAAAAUUAUGGCAAGUAAUUUAUUUUAUUUAUUAUAUCAACAAACCCCAUGUAGAGAUAAAGCAAUUUUCUAAUCUAAUUGCAUAUUUAUGCUUGUUUUGUUUGGUAAACCGACAUUUGCUAAUCAAGACUAUCUAAAUUGUCUGGCCAUCGCAUAAUCACUGCUGCAUCUAUUCUUUUUUUUUUUUUUUUUUGACAUCGAAAAAUUAUAUUAGACUAUCAUGCUCCUGUUAAGCCAGUCUCAAUAGCUAACCAACUGGGAGCUAGACCGCUUACAAAAUCUGAGUUUAUUUCACGUGAUCGGGCACCUUUUGCUAGGUGAUCCGCACGGACAUUUUCUGAUCUAGGAAUAAAAGAAAUCGAACAGCUACGAAAAUCAUUGCAGAGGGCUUUAAUCUCAUCAAGUUCCACAGCCAGAGCCGGCCAUUCUUCCUCCAAAUGCACAAGUUUUACCAAUUGUUCGCAGUCUGACUCCAAGUGGACCUCACGCCAUCCCGCAGUUAGCAGCUCUUGCAUUGCCCAUAACAUACCUUCUGCUUCUGCGUGAAGAGGUGAUGAUGUUUUUAUAUCUCCUUUCACUCCAAACAGAGUCGGUGCGUCGUCCUUCAGGAGCACAAAGCCCAGUCCCGUCGCUUCGGUUGUGCUUUUCCACGAUGCGUCUACUUGGCAUCGCCACUUUUGUAUAGUACUAUUUUGCAACGUCAUGGCUUGUACUGGCCGAUCUUCUGUUUGAGUCUCUGUAAUCUCUGUGAUUAUUUGGGCUAGCUUCCAGCUCUCAGCUUCCUUUUGUGCGAAUUGGACAGUGUCGUCGGGUGCUAUGUCCUUUCCGUUGAAGGUUUUUUCAUUACGUGCCUUCCAUAUGUACCAAGCUGUCCAUGGAAAAGCUUCCAGCCUCGUUGGGUCCACUCCUCGUUCUUUUGCUCUAUGUAGUAGGUAGUUAAUAUUCUCAUAUAGAGAUUGACACGGAAAGAUUCCCGGAGGGGAGGGCACAGUAGAUAGUGCCCAACAUUGUAGCGCAAGAGGGCAGAGGAACAGAGUAUGGUUGAUCGUUUCUUCAUCAGCUCCACAGCGGGGACACGAGCUGUCUUGGGUGCAGUGGCGUUGUUUUAGUUGGGUCGAUGUCGCAAGGAAUCCCGAAGUGGCUUGCCAUAGAAAGUGUUUCAGUUUCCGUGGAACUUUAACCUUCCAGAUCGCCUUCUUGAGUGCUGUUGUGCUUGGUUCGAGACUGAGAGGAACCACAGACCUCGUUAUGAUCCCAUGUGCCACUUCAUAUCCUGAUUUUACUGUGUAUAGCCCAGACUUUGUGAAAUCCCAACAUAAGCAAUCAGGUCGACCUGUCCUACUAAUCCUUAGUGAAAUGAUCGCUGGGAUGUCUGCUGCAUCUACAAACUCUUUUAGCAUCUCUAAGUUCCAUGUCUGAGAGGCGAAAUCAAUCAGAUGGUGCACUCUUAGUUCAGGAUCCCAGUGUAAAUCUUUUGCUCUCGCCGGUCUCGCUGGAGUUACUGGAAGCCAUGGAUCCUCCCAUACUUUUGUGGCGUGUCCAUUCCCAAUUUUCUUCCUGAGGCCUUGCUGUAAGACAGGGCGUGCUGCAAUUAUGCUUCUCCACCCAUAUGAUGGGUUACUUGCCGAAUUAAUCAUCAUCGGACUCGAAUGCCUGUAGUACCUGCCCUUGAGAACUCUUGCUAGGAGAGAGUGUGGAUAUUUGAGGAGCCGCCACAUCUGUUUCGCGAGUAAGGCCAAAUUAAAGUCGUGAAAGUCACGAAAUCCCAAUCCACCGCAUUCCAGCGGGACACAUAUCUUAUCCCAGGCAACCAAAUGCAAGCCUCUAUUAUUAGCUUUCGUACUCCACCAGAACUUUGAAAUAGCACUACUCAGUUUCUUUGUGAUACCUUGAGGUAAGAGAUAGCAGGACAUGACGUACGUUGGGGUCGCUUGGGCUAUCGACUUGAUUUGCACUUCCUUUCCCCCUUUGGAUAAUAAUUUCCCCGACCAUGAGUUAGUGCGAUCAUUCAUCCGUUCUUGUACGAAGCUAAAGACCUGUUUUUUCGAACCACAGAUUUUUUCAGGAAGGCCGAGAUACAUUCCCAUACCGCCUUCUUGGUUAAUUUGAAGCGACCUUUUCAGGUCAGUUUUUGAGGACGCCACUACCUUGGAACCGAACAGAACUGAAGAUUUUGACAUAUUCAGUUGUUGUCCCGAGGCGUUACCGUAGACGUCGAUGAUUCUCAUCAGUUCCGUGCACUCAGAAACCUCCGCCUUACAAAAGAAGAGGCUAUCGUCCGCGAACAAUAAGUGAGAGACCGGUGGGCAUGCUCUAGCAAUUUUCAUGCCAGUAAGCUUUUUGUCGUGUUCAACAUGCUUAAUCUGAGAGAUCAAUACCUCUGUGCAGAGGAUAAAUAAAAAUGGCGAUAAGGGGUCGCCCUGUCGCAGUCCGCGAGAUGGUAUUAUUUUUCCUUUAGCUUCUCCAUUUAGGAGGACUUGGUAUGAUACUGAUGUAACACACUGCAUGAUUAGAUGAAUCCAGUGGCUCGCGAAACCCAUUUUCUCCAUAAGGGAAUCAAGAAAGCUCCAUUCCACUCGGUCAUAUGCCUUGCUCAUAUCGGUUUUUAUCGCUACAUAUUUGCUUUGGCAACUCGGAUUCGUCCGUAGAGCAUGGAACAUUUCUUGUGCCACCAGAAUGUUGUCUGUGAUGAGUCGUCGAGCCACGAAGGCUGAUUGUGUUUCAUAGAUUAAUUUCGGCAUCAUUCUCUUUAGCCGUGAAGCUAACACCUUCGAGAUUAUCUUGUAGCUGACGUUACAUAAGCUGAUUGGUCGAAAUUCCGCCAUCGAUUUCGGUCGCUCCGUCUUGGGGAUUAGACAUAUAUUUGUCUGAUUGAGUCUCUCAUCCAUCUCUCCCGUAACAAAUAAGUGUUGCACCGUGCUGACUAUAUCCUUUCCAAUCGUCUUACAGAACCGUUGAUAGAAGAGACUGGUCAUCCCAUCCGGUCCCGGAGCUUUUUCUGGAUUGAUGGCGAACACAGCUUCUUUAAUCUCAUUCUCCGAAGGUGUCUUUGUGAGCGAUUCAUUCAUUUCUUGUGUAACAGACGCGGUAAUAUACAGGAAGGCUUCUUCUCUAUCACCUGGUAUAGAAGCUGUGAACAGGGUACUGAAAUAGUCUGUCGCUAGCUUCUCUAGACCAUCCUCAGUUUCCACCCAGUUCCCCAUGGAGUCCAAGAGCUUAGUAAUGUGAUUUCGAGCUCGGCGUUGUUUUGUCUUGGCAUGGAAGAACUUCGUGUUCCUAUCACCUUCCCUGAGCCACACAGCUCGACUUUUUUGCUUCCAAAAUAGUUCUUCUUCGCGGUAUGCUUCGCAGAGUUUCCAUUUAAUUUCCCUGCUGCAUCUAUUCUUUUCUCUAAUGGAAAGCUAUUUAAAUUAUUUGUAAAGUUAAUGAUUAGUUCUACCCCUUAAACCCUACCUUUUUUUGAACGACCCCUUAGAGCAGUAUUAAUGGGAGUGCUUAGACGGAAAAGUUUAGCAAAAGAUCAAUAUAAUAGUGGAUGAGACCCACACAAAAAUUAAGCACAUGUACUUUUUCUGCCGAAUUAAGCGCUGGUGUUAGCCAUGUUUUGCGGGCCCCACUGACACGUGGCGGUCCGUGAUUGGUUCGCUUUUAAUUUUUUUUUUUAAAUCAGAGAAAAAAAAAAUUAAGCGGGUUAAUGGUGCUCUUAUAAACCCUACCUACUAGCACUUCAAUAACAUUAGUUAGUUCCCAAAUUAUAAAUUUAUGCUUGUUUGUUUGUACUUGAAGAAUUAGGAAAUCUUGAGAAUAAUAUACUUCCUCCGUUCCUAAAAAAAUUAUGUUUUAGAAUUUUCACACUUUUUAAUAAAACAUGUUAAAAGUUAACUAUAAAUGCAUAAUUUUUUUGUAAUUUUAUAUUUUCUAUAUUUUUAAAUCAAUAAAAUUUUAAAAAAUGCAAUUAAUGUUCUUGAACUUCACAAUUUCUCAUUAUUAGUUGACAAAAAUUACAUUAAAAAUAUAAAAUAUGUAUUUUUUUGAAACAAAUGUUUUCUCAGGAAUGAAGUAUAUCAAAACAGGUACCUACCGGGAAUGUAAGGAUGAAAGGAAAAAUGGAUUAAUGAGGAAAUUAAUCUAGAUUAUCCAAUGAAUCUUGGGUUCCAAUAAACAAAACACGACUAAUCAUUGGAUACUAAUAUAACAUAAUAAUUAAUAUUUAACAGAUUUUUUAAAAGAAACUGUCUUUUUUCUCGAAGAAUAAAGAGAGAUCUACGAAAAGGACACCUAGAUCUUAGUUCGAUCGCAUAUUAAAUUAAUCGACAAAAGUACUUUCAAGAUAAAAAGCCAAACAAUAAUAUUAUUUAUUAAAUAAAACUAUUAAAUUGCACUAAUUUAUUAAUUUCUGGGAAACUUGCACUUACUUUAUCUGAUCAAGCACUAAUUUAGGGUUCAUGUGAUUUACCAAAAAUCGACUUAUAGUUGAGUUACUAAUUCGGGUGAUUAGUUGAGAUAAACCUUCCUCUUAUGGAAAUAUUUUCUGAGCUACUCAACGUGUUAUAUUAUUAACUCACUGAGACAACUUCGUGGUAAUGAGGAUCAAAUUAAAAUCGGAAAACAAAAUAAUGAGUAGUAAAAACAAAAGCAAAAAAGAGCUAAAAGAGUUUUAUCGAUAUAAUAAAUUGUAUUAAGACGAUAAUAGCAGUGCUUACUCUCUAUGAUCUAAGCUAAACAAAGCUUAAGCUUCAUUAUUGCUCUUUCCCGAAGAAGAAGACGAGCCAUUAGCGUUUCCGCCGUCAGCUCCAUCGCCGUGUAGGUUGUGCUCUAAACCGUUUCCACCGUGAACGCCAUCAUCCUUGGCGUUGUUAACUGCUACGUCGUUGUCAACGCAAUGUACGGUGGUUCCGCCAGCGACUGGCUGGUCGCGGCGGUUGUUGAAGGUGUUUUUGUUAUUGUGCAUCCACACCUUGAGUACUCCUUUAUCGACUCCAACCUCACGGCAGAAGUCGCGCACGUCGUCCUCGUCGCGCUUCUGAAACUUCCACCCGAUACGGUCGGCGAACUCGUGCAUCUUCUCUUUCUGAGCUUGGCUGAACUUCGUCCUGAACCGCUUGCGAGAGCCUGGGGUAAGGUGGUGAGUGGAGAGGUUGUUGGCGGCGAAGUUGAGAUCUGAGAACGGUAAGCUGUUUCCGCCGGGUUUAUUGGUGCCGGAGAGAGCGAGUAGCAUGUAAGAGGAGGAUAUAGGCGGCGGAGAAGAGGAAGUAGGGCUGCGACGGAGAUGAGGAGCCGGUGGAGGUAAGAGGAAGUGGGGCUGCGACGGAGAUGAGGAGCCGGUGGAGGUGGGUGGUGACGGUGGUGAGGCUGGUACUCGAGUGUGGAAGAUGGAGGAAGAGACGGUGGAGGCACGGCUGAGGUGAGAGAGGAAUCUUCAGGGUCACGGCGGUGGAAGUUACGGUGGCAACCGCAGGCGGCGCACUUGAGGGAAGUUG
rnacentral:lncRNA from 1 species